UUUUUAGUGUUGGUGUUACACCAAAAUGGUGUUAUGCAUUGGAGAUGGACUUAGAGGUUUUUCAACUUUAAAAUGUUAAAAUAAUUAAAUAAACAUGUGUUCUUUAAUUAAAAAAGUUCGGGAUAGCAUUCCUUUUUAAAUAAUUGAGUCAAAAGUGAAGUAGAGGCUGUACAGAAUAAUAUAAACGGCGCCGUGGCACAAAAAGCUCCCUUCGUAUUCACGCUAAGAUUAAAACCCUCUCCCGUCUUCCCCGUACGCGCACACUCUCCGACUCCCUCAUUCUCGCGCCCCUUCAAGAUCUAGACGCCAACAACAAACCCUAAAACUCACACUCAACGGGGGUGAGCGAGUGAGAGAGAGAGAUAUAUAUAUACAUAUUGCAUCAACACAACUGCAACAAAAUAAAAGAAACGAAAUUACUAUUCUCUCCUCACUUUCUCCGAUCCGAAUCUUCAGCUCAGGUGCCUUCAUCUCUUCUUCACUCAUUUCCUCAAUAUACUUAUAUACAUCUCGCCCUUUUUUUUCCUUUAUAUUUUGUUGAAAGAAUUUUGUUACGUUUUUUGCUGAGAAAAUGAGGUUAUACGCAGAAAAAAAAAAGUUGGCCAUUUUGAUAGAUCCUAUAAGUCUCUGCUUGUUUCCCUCGAAAGUUGUUGAAAUUUUUCUUUUAUUUUCUUCUAAUUUAGUGCUGUUGUUGAUUUUUUGUGUGGUUGAUUAUUUAGGGUUUUUGUUUGCGUUUGGAAGAUUUAAGAGCAAGUGGUAGUGAUGGCAACACCGCUGCACCAAGCUCCAACUGCUGAUAUUGUAUGAAACCUUUUUUUCUUUGUUUUUUUUUCGUUGAUCUUUUUUCUGUUUCGAUUUGGGCUUUACAUCUUUGAUUGGGGUUUGAGGAAUUUCUUGGUUUAAAUUUUUGUAGGUUGGUAAUGCAUUUGUUCAUCAGUACUACCUUAUAUUGCACCAAUCGCCCCAGCUCGUUCACCGAUUUUAUCAGGAUAUUAGUAAACUUGGUCGCCCUGAAGAAAAUGGGGCUAUGAGUAUUACCACAACUAUGCAAGUGAGCGUCUCUUUCUCUCUUUUCAUUGGUUUUACAUGUAUGUGUAUGUGGUGUGCAUUUGUGUGUUUAUAUCUAUUGUUUCUUCUCUUAGCGACGCCUACGGUAUAGCUAGUUUGUGGUAACACAAUGUUUCAAAAUAAUGGAAUGAUUUUGUUUAAAUAGAGGGCUAGGUGAACUGAUUAGGAAAUUUAUUGUACCAUUUGCGGCUGAGAAUCUCUUAUGAAGUAGCAUAUGCAUGAGUUGAGUGUGGAAUUAGUUUGCACUUCUGAUUAGGAGAGUUGUUGAUUUUCUCAUUUCUGGUUGACACUUGGGCGCAGGCUAUCAAUGACAAGAUACUUGCACUUCAUUACGGAGAGUUCAGUGCUGAGAUCACCACUGUAGAUGCACAAGAAUCAUACAAUGGGGGUGUCAUUGUUCUCGUGACUGGUUAUUUGACUGGAAAGGACAGUGUGAGGCGGAAAUUUUCGCAGAGUUUCUUCCUGGCACCUCAAGACAAAGGCUACUUUGUCUUGAAUGAUGUCUUUAGGUAUGUAGAUGAUGCCUACCAUGUCGGGAGCCAGGCUACCACGAAUGAUGUUGAAGCCCCUAUUACUCCUGACCAAGGUAAUUAAAAAAAUCCAGAAUAUUUUCUAAAUUAAAGCAUUUUCUUUUCUCAAAUUAGAUGUUUAAGACGUUGUUUCUUUCUGCAGACCAUUCUCCUGUGCAGGAGAACCAUGUUUCUGAUCAAACAGCUAUUUCAUCAGAGGAAGUCAGCGGGGAAGAAGUGGACAAUCCCUCAGAGAAUGGAGAUGGUACUAUCGAAGAAGAGGAAGCACCAGUACCUGAGGUCGUUGAUGCAAUUCCAGAUGAUACGCAUGUGGCUGCCGAAUCCGACUCUAAAGUGGAAGAAGUGCCAAAGAAGUCAUAUGCUUCGAUUGUAAGUAGUUUAGUACACACUACCCUUCUUAACUUCUUACUGGACACUUGUGAUUGUCUUGCUUCAGUUAUUUCAUUUUUUGUUAUUUCUACAUCUAUGUGGUGGUUCAAGGUGAACGAGGGUGUUGGCAAAAAUGGUUUCUCUUGCCGUAUCUUAUCACCUAUCUAAAUUUGUUGAAUUACAUACAAAACACUAUUGUUACAGGUGAAGGUCAUGAAGGACAGUGCUUUGCCUGUAUCAUCUCCUCCUCCAGCUUCUCUGAGGUCCAUAAUGAAGAUCCAAGAGCAACCACCUGCUUCUGCAACAUCUCCAGCCCCAGCAUCUGAGAAACAAGUUACCAACUCAAAUGCUACUGAAAAUGGGAAUAACCAAGAGGGUAGGGCUUGUUCGGUUCUUGUGCUUCAGUAAUUUCUGAUGAUAUCUUUACUUUGUGCGAAAGUAGGUGCUGGCAUUGUUAUGUUUGAUCAAUUCAUGUUCAUAUGUUUGUUUAUGAACAGCUGAGGGUCCAUCUAUUUACCUAAAAGGACUGCCUCCAUCUGCUACUCAUGCUCUACUUGAGAAUGAGUUCAGGAAGUUUGGAACUAUAAGGGCUGGUGGUAUUCAAGUUAAAACCCAGAAGGUACAUUCAAGUUCAUUAUCCAUUGGAGUAUUGCUAAUUUUAUUUGCGACAAAUAAUUAUUCUUUCAUAUUUUGUGUGACAGGGAUUUUGUUUUGGCUUCGUGGAAUUUGAAGAGGAAAAUGCUGUGCAAAGUGCAAUUGAGGUAUGCAUAAGAUUUUGCUGCCAUGACCUUUUUUUUGUUUUUUCCCCCCCGGUGUCUUAUUACGUCGACUUUUUGCAUGUAAUGUGUAAGAAACAAGAAGCAUUUGUUAACUUACAUGCAGAUGGAGGCAUGAAGUGAAAUUUGAGGUUAUUUCUGUCAUGUGAUUAAUGCUUCUGUUACAUGUUGAGAGACUUUGUGGGGAUGCACUAUCUUUGUUAAUUUGCAUGCACUCAUUCGUUUAUUCUCUGGGAUUGUAUUUGUUGUUGAGAUCUUCGUUUAUUUAUUAAUUUCAGUUUGUGAUUUCUUUUCCUAUACCACGUAUAUGCAAAAUGUUAGACAAGAAUGAGGUAAUCGUUGAUUGAAAGAUGCAUGAAUAUGUUGUAAUCAUACAUGGUAUUUUUCAUCUCUUCAUUUAUGAUGGUGGUACAAUGUUGAAUGUUUUUAAAGUUUCUUCUGAAGAUGAGUUAUAUAUUAUCCUUAUUUGACAUGGUUUAAACAACCUUCAGUGCCAAAUUUUUUUAUGGCAAGGGAAUACUGGUGCAAUGGGGCUGCUUUGGCAUCACUUUAGUUUGUAGCUAGAUUCUCACCCUUUCUGAUGAGGGGAAGUCCAUUAAACAUCCUUGCAUUAGAUUUUUUUUCCCCCAAAUAUAUUUUAGCUUUUAAUAUAUAGUGUUGUCUGUAUUUAUGUUUCAGGCUUCGCCUAUUGUGAUUAGUGGGCACCGUGUAGUUGUUGAACCAAAGAAAUCUACUCGAGGCAAGUUGACUUUUAUGCUUAGAUUACUGGAUUCAUUUUUCUUGUUUUAUAAGUUUUGAAAGUGGUUGCUUUCUAUUGACAGGGGGCAAUAGGGGACGAUUUUCAUCCAGAGCUGGUAAUGGAUACAGGAAUGAGGGGACAAGAGGGCGUGGGAACUAUGGGGGUGGCAGAGGUUACGGCCGGGGUGAUUUUGGUAACAGGUCUGAGUUUGAAAAUAGAGGUGGCAUUAGGGGAGGAUUUUCAAACCGUGGAGGUGAUGGAUAUCAGAGGAAUGACAAUGGUGGUCGUGUAAACCGUGCUGGUAGGCUGGCUGUCAAUGUGACGGCUAAAAAUGUGGCACCACGUGUGUCUGCUCCUGCUUGAGGAAACCGUCCUUUUUUUUUUUUCNNNNNNNNNNNNNNNNNNNNNNNNNNNNNNNNNNNNNNNNNNNNNNNNNNNNNNNNNNNNNNNNNNNNNNNNNNNNNNNNNGGGGGGGGGGGUUGAUGGUGUUGGGGCAUUGGAGAGGAGGAUAAUUUCUAUUGUAGUUUAGUGAUUUGACAAGUGAUUUAAUAGCAUUUAGAGUUAAAGAUCAGGAUUCAUUUUCCAUUUGUGGAUGAGCUUCUGAAGUUUCUUGAGGAAUGACCUUGGCCCUUACCCACGUUUGCUGUAACUGAGUGGUCAUGGGUAUCUGGUCUACGAGUUUUUGUUUGGUAUACUUGUGUCAUAUGUCUAGUCUGCUGGGGAGAGAUAUUUUGGAACCUUUAUUUUAAACAAUGGAUGAUUAUCUAUGUUUUUCGGACAUGGUGAAUGAUAUAACAGUUAGGUUUCUAAUCUUGCUCAGCAUUUUCUGAAUAAUGUCUCGUGGAUGGAUUGUGGUUUUUUCCUUGUGUGACAAGUAUAAGGAAAAUAGGAAAUUGCAUGUUCAUUAUCUAGCAGUUUUGACUCCGACGUGAUUCAAGUUUACUUACGAAACUUUAAUUUACUACCCGUAUGAAAUUACUAAGCAUAAAUUUUAGUUGUUGGUUGAUAGCUGUGAAGCGGGAAUAAGAAUAUAAGAUACUGUGCAUUUCAGCAUCUGGGUGCAAAUACGCAAGUAGCUGUUCAAAGUUGAGCGUUCUGGGAGCAAAACAUUGACCAAGCAUUAUAUAUUGAGAAAAACAGAACACAUGCAACCCCCAUUAGUCUAAAGCAAAAAUAUCAUCCUUCAGAUUGACAUAUGCAUAAUAAUAGUGAACAUAAACAGUUUAAAACUUUUUGAAAUUCAAAAUUCAUUGAUGUUCUUGAAUACUGUUACAUUUGCCAAAUCAAUUUAAUUGCAAUCGGAGGACUUGUAUAGACAAAUUGAAAUAAAAUCCUAAAGUGAGAUGAUGACUUAAUUAUAACUUACUGCUUCACUAUGACAUUUUGCUAAGAAAAUUAAUUCAGGCACCAAAAUUACAUGCUUGAAUGAAAUCCAGAUCGUAAUCAACAUACUUGGUCCAAAGCGGCUUGAAUUGGUUCAUGGCAAUAUCAAGCCAAGGUUUCAUGUUCCCAUUGAAGUGCACAACUGCAGCAUUUUGUAUCUCUUCCAUACUAAUACUUGGAUUAUAUCCAAGUCCCAAUACAUGCCAUGAUUUGUCUAGUGGUUUUGUAGUCGAGUAAAAUGUGAUCAAACCUGGAGGAAGUGUUCCCAAUUUCCACAAUGUCCUAUUCUCAUUCUGUAACACAGAAGGCGUCACUAAUUAGUAACAAUCCAAAUGUAAAUUCACAAUUGAAAAAACACAGAGAAAUUUUACCCAAAAAGCUGUCAUGAAGAAUAAGUUAAUGAACAUGUAAACAUAUCAGAUAUGAAAUGGACUGGCAGUUGUACCAGUCCCGGCCGAUCUCAUCAGACAACUAAAGGUUUAGGAUUAUACAGCAAGUGCAAUCAUAGCAAGUAUUUAAAGCAUAAAUUGGCUUAAAACAAUGAUACUUAAUCAAUGAAAAUGGUUAAAUAUUAAAAUCAAUCUUACCAAAUUCUGCCAGUAAUGAUACUCUUCUGUGCACUUCUCCCUUCUCCAAGCAUCCAAAUCAAAGAAGUUCAUCCCAUAAGCCCAUGCGCAUGCCUUUGGAUUAAAUUUCGCCUUAAUCAAAGGAUGUGAGAAAUUCAUGUACUGCGCAUAUCUAUGAAACGAACCAAAACAAGUCUCCACUGCCCCAUUAACUUUCCCAUCCAUAUCAAUCUUCCACAACCCUGUUAGGUCCCUUUGUACCACAAUAUCAUCAUCCAAGAACAAAAUCCUAUGCAAUUUUGGAUACAUCUCAGGCAAAUAAAACCUCAAAUGAUUCAAUAUCGACAAGUAUUUGGGAUUCCUAAACUUCAUAUUAGUAGUAUCUUUCGUAGCAUUCUCAAGCUUGUUCUCGAAGUAAAACCUCUGCAAAUUAGCAGAUUCCAGCUGCCUCAACACCGGGACAUAAGACGAAUUCAAAAACUUAUAAUCCUCGACAGCCUUCACCUCUAUAUGCGCCCCAUUAUAAUCCUUCAAUUUAAACAUAACCUGCAUUGCCCCGAGAUUCAUUUUAUCCGUCACAACAUGAAACACAUGUUUCCAUGGCUCCUUUGAGUUCUUAACAGCUGAAUUCACCACCACCGAAGCUGCAAGCACAUUAUCCGAAAAAAUAGCAUAAUGAUAAAGUUUGGGAUCCUCAAAUUCUGCAGGCGUUGGCUUCCCUUCAUCGUUAUAUUUCUCCGGAUGAGCAAUCCGCUCUUCCAUCAAUCUCAUAGCCAAACAAUGCAAACUCUUAGGUAUCGAUUUUGCAGCAAUCAAACUUGAAAAAGCUCCUUGCUUUUUCGCCUUAGUCAACUGUUCAUUCACCGCAAAAAUGGUGUCUUUUAACUUCUGAAUCUUCAACUGAUUAUCAAAAGACUCUUUGGCCUCCGCAAUUAUCUGGCGAGUCAAUUUGAUUCUCUCUUUUACUUCCUUUUCGAAUUGUCUCAAUAUUGAUUCAUCAAUUGUGAGAGAAUCGGACUCCAUUAGAGCCCGAUAUGUAGGCUUAGUAAUAAGAUCCGUGUAAUUUCUUGAGAGAUCAGCGAAGAUUCUAACCAGCUUCGAGUUCUCAAGCUUGAGCUUACGCGCGUAGGACGCGUAAGCCAUCGCCAGAGCUCGGUGAUCAUCGGCUUGCUUUCUGAUCUGGUCCAGCCGCGGCUUCAAAGGAUCUGAUUUCAGCGCCAAAACGGAUCUCCGCAUAGAUCCGAGUCCAUAGGUGCCCGAAUUCAAACCCUAAAUGAAUCACAAAAACAAACAUUCCGUCAAAAACUUAAAACCAUUUCAUCAGGACGCCCUUUUUUUUUUUUUUGGUUUUCUCACUAAACCAAAAAAAAAUGACUAAAACAAAUGAAAAUUGUUAAUGGCAUUUCGUGGUUUGUAAUUGUACUCACCGAGCUGUAAAGAUCGCGAGAGUGAGAGUGAGAAGUGAAGAGCAGAGAGGAAGUGAAGAAGAGGAAGACGGCAAAUGUAAUGAAGGACGCGAGGAGUCUCAUGAUGAAAGUAAAACGUCCAGUUACCGGAGCUCCGGCGCGUGCGGUUCGAUGAGUCGCCAUUUUGAGUUUUGAUUUUGAUGAGACGAACAAUGGACUGAGUGGAGGAGGGAGUGUGAUUUUUUAUUUCACUCUCCGAGUCAUUCGAUUCGAUGGCUCGAACUUGGAGGGGAGGUGAUAGAUCCGCUGCUGCCCGCGCCAGUUAUUUGGAAUGUUGUGGGCCGUUUGAUUUAGUAUAGUAAAUGAGUUGUACGGCUCACAUUGCGUAAAGUCAACUCGUGUUGUGUCGGUGAGCUGGUGCCAGUUGGACAGUGGCGGCAACGCGGAAUGAAGUGUGAACGUUUUGAUGUUGUUAAUAAAUUUUUUAAAAUAAUUAAUAAUUAAUUAUUAUUAUUAUUUUUCGCUUAAAAUCAUUUCUGGGAUACUGAAAUGAAAUUAAAAAAAAAAAACCGUUUAAAAAAAUUAAUCAUUCAAAAAAAAAAUAUCAUAUGAAUAUUAGAAUAUCACUUAAGAAAAUUGUUAUUACCAUUAUUAUUUACAUUGAUGUCAUGAAUAAAGUUGAAAUUCUUCUAAAAGAUUUGCUUACUUUUAGUAAUCUUUUGUGUUUAAUUUAUCAUCAUCAUCAUCGUCGUCGUCUACGUAAACUCAACUGUGAAUCACAAUGAUGGAGAGGAUGAAAUUAUAAGUGAAAUCAAUCUUUAAAUGCUGAGAGUGAAAAAAAUGUCCAACGUCAAAAUCCCACUUAAAUACUUAUACUAUAAUUAUCACUUGCUUAUUUGAAAUCGAAGUUCUCUUAUUGGGGUCUGCUCGAAGUUGAAUCAUAUUUUACCUAAUACUAUACUGAAAAUUUUAUUACUCUAGCGCCAUUAAAUUCAAUAUAGUCCAAUAAUAUCAAAUUCGAAAACGACAAGGUUGAAUAGAAAGAAUAUAAUAAUAUUAAUUUAAUACGUGCCUUCACUGCAGAGUUAUUCUUAAAUAUAAUUGUCUUUCUUUUUCUUUUUUAUAUUUUUUAAUAAAAAUGAAUAUAAUUGUCUAAGGCAGACUUUAUAACGCAUUGAAUAAGGACCAUUAUGUCCUAAUCCUGAAAUUAUUAUUGUCAAAGAGGUGCAUCCAUUGAAAAGCAUGUCUCAUCAAUGAACUAUACGUGUAAAUCGUAUGGUACUAUGCCGGCCCAACUCAAAAAAUGAAAAGCCAUUGGUCCUAACCUAUUCUAUUUUCGAAUUUUUUAAUUGAAAUUUGUUAUACAAAGAAUAUUGCUGACUUUCAAAAAUCUUUUAAAAGCAUCUAAUUUAUUAUUCGUAUUUUUUCCGCAUGGAUAUGGGUCCAUUUGAAGUCAUGCAUAUUCGAUUUUCUCUUUUUCACGGUAGCGCUUGGUCCACUUGGGCUACAAUUCCUACAACAUGAGCUCAAUUUGGGUUCAUUCAGAUUCUCGCGCGGAUCCAAUCAGCUCUUUUCCGUGGCACCAAAAGAGCACGAUCUAGCACUAUCUCACGCCUCUAUUUGAAGCAAAUUGAAAAUGGCAGAAGAAACUUCUGUAGCAGGUACGAGUGAACGAAGGCAGAGGUGACUUUAUAGGACACGAAAAUUACCGACAAACGAGAGAGUGCCACGUGUAUAUGAAUAUAUUUAAUGGUUGAUUGCGACAGUAAUAUCAUCACGUAAGAGGCGAAUGGAAGGAUCAUUGCUCCCAAACCCAAAGCACUAAAAGAUUUUUCCCCAGCAAAUAGGAAAUGCUUAUGACAAACAAGAGCAUAAAAAACGGCGAAUUUGUUGGGCUAGCUCGUCACCAGUUUUUUUUUUUUUUUAAUUUUUAAUACUGACCUAGAUCAAACAUAUAAUGGCACCAUUCAUAUUUUUUCCCGACAUCUGCUGGGACCCUAACCUGUUUGGUUUGUCGUUGGAUUACAUGUGAUCGGUCGUCAUCUGAUUUGAACCUCAGGUUUCAUGCUUGAUUUCUUGUAUAGUGUUUUUUAAACCUUGCUGAUACCAGAGUUUACUCUAGUGGCAUUUUUUUUGCAUUGGCCGGGUAAUAAACAGCAAUGCAGCUUCCUGGAAACGCAUUAGCAGUUUCCCAGUUUCUGCUCUCUUUGGCAUUUUAUUGUGGCCUUAAAUCUGGUAACUAACAGUUGUUUUUAUUUUUGUGUUCUUUCUCUUUCGCAUUUACUUAUGCAAUCAAGAAACCAGGAAAACAGAGGAAUUUUAUUGAAACAUUAAAAUAGAAUUAUGAGAUUCCUUCCUCUAGUAAGUAACAUGCAGUUAGUUAUAUUAAUUAAUGCAGAGCUUGAAUAUUCAAUUUGACGCAAUCUUGCUAAUUAGCUUACUUUCCUAGAGAACCGUGACUGAGUCUGAGUGUAUCUACUCUGAAAGUUUAACAGACUCAACUCGAGAAGUAGAAGGUCCAUUCAACAAUCGGCUAAAAGCAAUUAUCCUUGUAAAAGCCCUGCAUCGGAUUCUCACACCAGGGAAAAAAUAUACCUGUCUAUGGAGAAGUUGGGUUCAUUUCCUAUUAUUUGACCUUUAUUUUGCAAACAAAUUAACACAAGCAGCAUGUGGCAUGUGAAAUAACUUAAAGCCCUAUAUCCCGCUAACAUAUCAGUAGAAUCAGAUAUUGUAUAUUUUACUGAUCCAAAUAUAACAUAUUAUUUUCCACGUAAAAAGGCAUGUCUCCAAAGAGAACUUAAUUGUGUACGAAACUCAAUUGAUGCACCAUGGCACGCCUGUCCUAUUUAGCCAGUAUUUGAGUCUGCUGCUGAAAUGGGCUACAUUUGAAAAUUAAAAUAAAAGGAAAAAGGAAAUUGCAAAUUGCAAAUAUUUACUUCAUAUAAUCCAAUUUAAACAUAAAAAAGGAAAAAAAAAAAGUGAAAAGAAAAACAAAAAACCUAAAUAUUUCAAUGGUAAAUCUUCUUGCCAUGUUUGGUCACAUUGUGCAGCCAUCCAAUCCCUUUGAAGGCCUUAGAAAUCUUAACAAGAUUAGGCCUUCCCAUUCCCAAAUUCAUCUUCCCGGCUGAGAAUUUCAAAGCCUGUAAGCAACAAAGCUGCCCGUCAUCAAUCUCCUCCUCGUCCUCCUCCUCAUCGUCGUCGUAUUUGCUCCUCCAUUUCUUUCCCUUCUUUGUUUUGCUUUUAGCAAGCAACUGCUGACGCUGCUGCUGCUUAGUUGACUCAUGGUCGGCCUCGUAAGUCUCCCAAAGCAUAUCCAUACCUUCACAGCUUCCUUGAUCAACGUUAUUGUGCCUCUCCUCGAAUAACUUGCAUGCCAACGUCCUUCUCCAUUCCUUUUCUUUCCUCAUCGACCCAAAACUCCCAAGACUCGAUCCAAAACUCGGCGAAUGAGUAAACUCCCCACCAUCAUUCUCGUCACUCCAUAGAUGGUCACCACCACCAAGUAGUAGUACUCUCUGAGAAUUCAAUCUCACUUUAUUCUCCAAAGCCUUGGAUCCGCUACUCAUAAACAAGUCGACUUUUGUUUCUUCAGCUUUAUCAUUAUUAUUAUUAUUAUUAUGCAACCCAACGCUUGAUGGCUUGACUUCUUCUUUUUCACCCUUUUCGCACGACACAUCGACAAAAACAUCAUGAUCUUCCUCCUCCAAGAAGCCUCCUAAACUUUUUUCCUCCGCAAUCAACUGACUACUACUUUGUUGGCGAUCACUUUCGGCCUUCAUAAUCUCCGCCAGGGUAAUAAUCUCGACCAAACUCUCGCGACACAAGUGCUUGUCAACGGGCGCUGCUUCCGAAUUUGAUGACGACAACCCAUUUGUUUCUUCUGAAACGCCUACUGAAAUUUCUCCAACCUCUAUAAUACUAGAGGUAUCAAACACGAUCUUGUAGGCUUCAAGAUCCUCCAAGUUCAGUGACUGUUCGUCUGUUGUUGAGUCGUCUGAAUUAGAGCGCAACUUCUCCACCGCAUUGCGGUAUGCGGAGAGAAGGAAACUAACUUUGGAAUUUUCGCAUAGUUCGGUGUCGCGGACGAAGGUGGUGAGGAGAGCGAGAAGCAAGAGGGAAGUUGUGAUGAAGAGAGGAGAAAGGAAAGAGAGGAUCUUGAUGAUGUACGGUGAGAAGAAAAUGAAGUAAGAGAAGUAAAGAGGGUGAGAGAUGAUGAAAGAACAAAAGAGCAACAAGUCAGAGAGGAGCAGGCUUGAGAAUUUUGCUUUCUUGUUAGUGUUUUCUGGGAAGGAAAAUUCAGACAUUUUCUACGAAAGUGAGAGAAUGGACGUGGAUGGAGAUGGAAAAUGAGUUCGAUUCUUGUUUUUUUGUUUAUGCGAAAUGGUGGGGGAAGAGAAAGGCGUGAGACUGGAAGCAAGAGCGGCGUGAAUAAAGGAACGAGACUGGAGAGUACUUAUCAGUGAGUGAGUGAGAGAGAGCGAUCAAGUAUUAUUAACGAACAAAUUGGCAACAAAAAGAAAGCACUUUUGGAAACUUUAAUAACCACCAUCUCUGCUUUCUUUUCCUGUUCAUCAUUUGUCAUCAUCACGGCUAAUUGUGGUUAAUUAAUUGAGUAAUUUCACAUCGUCGCGUUAUAUUCUCAUUGCAAAUUAACUUGCAAUACUCCCAUAAUACAGAUAGAAAAAUCAGCCAGGCUGUUCAUUUGGAUUUAACAGUUCUGCAUGUUCACACCAUCCAUCCAUCACCUGUGACGCAUGCAUAAAUGAAAUCCAAUAAAAUAGUAUUUUCUUUUCUACGUAUGGAAAAUUCUUAUGGGUCGUAUAAAGACAAAUUUGACCAACUUGAGUCAGGGAUUGAUCAAAGGGAUCCAGCAUUUUUUUUUUCUUUUUAAUUUUAAUUAUACUGACUAAUUUUUACCAUUUUUUGUUUGAUUGAUUACAUUUAACUAAUGUUUGUUUACUGUCAAAUCAAAGCUUUCAUUUCGGUACUCGUUUUUCAUUUUUUUCCCCCUUCUCAUCCAUAAAUUUUAAAGUCAGUCAAAUUCCAUCUUAAUUGACCUAGAAUUUAAUCUAAACAGUCACUUGAAAUCAACAUCACCCAAUGAUCAAUCUGCGAAUCUUCAAUUCAUAAUGAAACCCUUCAAGCAUCUUUGCUUCAAGUUUAAGUUAAAUUCAUCAUACCUCUUGUCCCCAUCAAAUUUUUAUCAUUUGAUCAUUUUUGUAUUUCAAUACCUUGUGCCCAGUUAGCCAAUACCCUUAAACAAGAUUGUAGAGAUAUAUUUAAUCUUGAGAUAACACAUUGUCUAAAUGUUAAUCUAACGGGAUGAAAUCACUUUCAAACACGGAUUAAAAUCUAGAUUAUGAUUCUCUCAUGAUUUGACUUUUGUUUGAGUAAUUUUCAUUAACAUGAUUGACGGUUAAUAAAUUAAAAAAUAAAAAUAAUUAAACCCUAAUCAUAUUCUAACUCUAAAAGAUAGAUGGUAUAAGAUCUGUGAAAAAUCAGGAGAGUUUAGAUUAAGAGAAUAUUUUAAUCUGUAAUUUUAAUGAAAUUUUGACUCCAAAAGUAACAACGACAUUAUGAAUUAUAUAAGCAUAGAAAUCAUUGUGUAAACUAUGGCCUACAAGCCGGUAUGAGGUUAAAGUAUUGAUUAAAUGAAAAUAUAAAAAUAAAAAUAAUUAAUGAAAAUGAAAAAUGUAUAGGUUUUGAGAAAAUUUUGUCAUUUUGUGAUACUGUGACGUCAAUUUUAAUGGAAGCUUCUCUUCCCUGAAGUGUGAGGCAUUGGUAGGAACUAGGAAGGUUGAGAUAGGAGACAAUAGGUGAUUGAGGAGAGGUUCGGAGAUUAGAGAAUAGAUUGGUCAGCGAUUGGUUGCACCUUGCACAUGGGAAAGCACUUAUUAUAGCCAUUCAAUUCAAGUGCUUUUCNNNNNNNNNNNNNNNNNNNNNNNNNNNNNNNNNNNNNNNNNNNNNNNNNNNNNNNNNNNNNNNNNNNNNNNNNNNNNNNNNNNNNNNNNNNNNNNNNNNNNNNNNNNNNNNNNNNNNNNNNNNNAGCCCCCCCCUGGCUAUGGACCUUCGGUCCCCCUACUCGUCGCUUUUAACCCUGAAUCGUUCCAUGUGUCUCUUCUUAUCUACCAUUUUACUGGUUUUUUUUUCUUUGUUUUUAAUUAAUAUUCCAUGAAAUUUUUUCAGAUAUCUUUUCCAUCUUGACCAGUAAAGUCUUCCGCGAAUCAAUUAUAAUUUGUCUGGUCUCUGUUAAAAACACCGACGUGCUGAAACAAAGAUAUGGCAUAAGCAUAACAAGAAAUAAGCAAGAAACUCAUCCAUUUUUCUAAGUCAGCCGAGAGAGUAAAAGUCACCCGAGAGAAUUAGAUUCUAUGGUAACUUAUGCUACUCAAACUUCUGUUGAUCCAAACCCUAUAUAUAUUUGAUUGGGCAGAAAAUUAAGGAUGUGGGAAGGUCUAUACAAGAAUUGCUGAUUAAUGUUCAAAGAUUGUGAGAUGUUUCCAUUUCACAAUUAUUUUAUUUCUAAGAGAUGGGAACCACCUAUUUUUGAAAAUUUGAAAAAAAAAUUAAAGUUUAUUAUAUAGUUACAACCUUUUUCUUCAGCAACUAUAAUUUUUAAGUCAUAACAUCUCAAUACUAAGAAGAACCAAUAUUUAAGCCAUGCACUAUGUUAGAACUCACUUAAAUAGAUCUUGAUAAGUAUGGUAGAUUUGUGGUUUAAUAUCGAAAAAAAGAAAUUAUUCCUCCGAGAUACUCAAUAUCAAAAGAGACCUUGAUAAAUCAUUAGAUGUUCACACCAUAAUUCCAUAGUCGAGAUUGAGAAGUAGCUGCAGAUUACAACAAUUUUUUUCCAAGCGAAAAGGUUGCAGCUUGGGUUAAUUCAUUUCCUACUUGAGUAAACCUUGUCGAUGAUGAUAGAUGAAAUGCGAAAAUUGCAGCAUUAGCCAGGGGUGUACCUAAUGCUGGGGUAGUAUAAUUAUGGCCCGCAAGCUAUCAAGCACCAAAAUGCCCGCCUGUUGACAAUUGUAACACAUGGCCCACGCCAACGAAUUAGUUUAGCAUCAGCUUUUGCUAAAGCUUAUGCCUGGACUCUGGUCUGGUGAGCAAACGAUAAAAAAGAAGCUCAUCUUUACAUUUAAACCAACAGACAAGAAGAAAAGAUCACCUACCACUUUUUCCUUAUCACCCAAAGCAACCCAGAUUUGACCGCGUAAAACUAGUCCCACUCUUUUUCUUUGGUUAGUUAAAACUACCAAGACAAAAUGAGCACUUGGCCAAAAAGUAAAUGUAUGUUAUGUUUUAAUAAUAAUAUCUUCUUCAUUGUAUUAACAUAGAGAAGAAUAUGAGCAUCAUUGUACUCUUCGAGCUCGUUCCCAUUAUGAGAAAGUUCAUUAUGGGGAAUCUUAGGGCCAACUCCAUGUGCAAGAGAUUUAGACAAAAGUGAUUUUAUCAUUCUUCAAAUAGUUCUCUUGAAACAACUCUUAACCCAAAGGCAAUCUUUCUGAUCAUGAAUAAUACAUACCAGGUUUAGAUAGAUUUGACUUUUACAGUCUCUCUAUAAUAAUAUUCAAACGGUUUGCAUAUUUUUCACUUGCAGCAAUCUCGCGGCCAAAUCAUGCACACAGAGACCGUUCAGAGUGGACAUGUACAUGACCUUAAGUUGAAGGCAUUGGGCAUCUCACACCUGCUCGUUAGAAAGGUGCCAAGAAUCCAUGGGCUGCUCAUUCCCUUAUACCAAAGGCGGGAGGGGCAGGUAACCUGCUUAUAAAAAGCAAAAUCAUGAAUUCAACAUGUUGGAUUUGACAGAGGACCUUCUCCACAUUUCAGGAGGAAAUUUUUUCUUUGUAAAAUUAAAUUACUCAGUAAGGCAGCUCAAGCCUCAAUAAUAAACCAUACAAACACAUCUUUAUGAUAUUGCCAUUCCAAUAUUGGAAAAAUGACCUAAAGAAUUCCUAUCAAAUUGCUCCAAUUGUAAACGUGACAUCUUUAUGAUGCUGGCCAGUGUUAAAUUUAAAUUUAAAAAAAAAAAAAAACAAUGGUCUCACAUAGAUAACAUACAACACCACUGCUUCCUUAAUAAUAUAUUAAAUGCAUAAUAGCACUACCAAACAUUUUUUGUUCCACAAGAAACAUCCAAAUCCAAACACAGACCACUACAAACCCAUAAACCAAGGAAAAUCAGAAUCAGUUACAUUUGGAUGACUGUGACCACUGAACCGUACUACUUCUAUCUCAUCACUGAAGCAUUACAAGCAAAACGCAACUCUCACUCUGUCAUGACAGGCUUGUUCUCAUUUGUUUUGGGUCUUUGUUCUUUUGGCCUUUGCUCUUCCAUUUUCCUGCAAUACCAAGCAAAUGUUAUUAUGCAGUAUGCCUAGAAGCAUGUUAAUACAUGAACUUGAAAACAAAUUUUAACAAAUCAGAGCAGGUGGAUUAAUAGACCCUGCUGCAAUUAACAAAUUACAGAUCAAUCAAACAACGUUGCAGGCAUACUCUCUCCAUAUUCAGAAUUGAAAAGUCAUAAUAAAUUGAAAAGUCAUAGUAAAUAAGACCAAGACGACAAAUAUUCUUGCAGACAAAGCAGCAGCAGGAAGAGAAAGAGGGUGGCGGGGAAGGACUGCAUCAGAAUCAAUGAAGAUGAUGCAGCAUAUGACAAGUAAGAACUACAGUUAAGAACAACCUAAGAAAUUGGCCAGUUUCACAAUCUACUUAGUGCCAUAAAUAUUUGUUAGAAUCAUUUCAAUGAUAAAAUAACAACCAAUAAUCCAAACAUACACAAAACAUGUCCAAGAUAAAUUUGUAAGGUUGACAGACUAAUCAAAUCUAUUCUCAAUGAUUAUACAAGACUUAUUAAUGUACAGAUCAAACCUAUUGGAAUAAUCAGAAUAAUCUAAAAUCAACACACGCAAUACAAUUUGUGUUAAACAUGACAAGGUCUUAGUUGCAUGAAACCAAUUGUAAGCUAUCAGAUGAUUAUAUGACAAGAUUUCACCAAGGUGAAGCAAGACUUUCUGCCAUUCUAAGGUUCUACUCGUUUAUCAUAGUUUAUCCACAAAUUACGAUGAAAAGGUUUCUGGCAAACUUUCGUCCCGGUCCCAUAUAUCAGUUACCUCUCCAUCAUUGUAGCAAGCUCGAAAGAGGAAACACCUCACACACAAGUUUUCACAAUGACCUACCAUGUGUAUAAGUUACACCCACCAGAGUUCAAACUUCUCCCUCUCUCUUUUUUUUUUUUUUCCUCAAAAUUUCCAAAUGUUAAUAAGUGAAAUGCUGACUCUUGUGUCAAUUAAAUCAACCUGAAAAUAGCUUCCAAAAACUUGAAUUGCAAACAAAUCAUUCACGGUAUGCUUGGAGCAAGAGUUCAAAUAACUCAAUCUAGUAUAACUAAUACGAAACCUAUCACUCUCAAACAAUCAGACCAUCCCAAUUAUUCAAAAAUUUCAAAUGAAAUCUCCAGGCCUUAAUAACACAAAAUAAAAUCUAAAUUAAAAAAAAAAAAAUCCCUUGAAGACCAUAGAAAAAUAUAUCACUCCCUUGAAGACCAUAGAAAAAUAUAUCAAAAUCCCUUGAAGACCAUAGAAAAAUAUAUCACUAUAAACAAUAAUAGCGAUUAAAAUAAACAAUAAAUAAAUAAAAUACCUCUUGUCAGAAGCGCCGCCCUUCUGGCUGAGGAAGGAACGGAAGAGAGGAGAGUUCACGUCGUAGAUCAUUGUUGAUUAUGAAUUAUCACCGUAGGAUUCCUGUAUCGGAAAAAGAAACCCUAGUUCCGUUUUCGUUUUAAUUUGAGUACUAUCCUGCCCAAGACACCGCUUUUAUACCGUCGGAUUAGACACUUCACUUCUUCGUGACGGGCUGUUGAUUGGGCUCCUCGCUUAUCUAGGCCCAUAUUUUAAAAGCCCACUGAAGAAAGUGAUUAACGAAAUUCGGAUUUCUCGGAGAACGUUUACGUCCUUGACCUUAACAGAAUAUUCUUAAAACGCCAAUGCUCGUAAUUCUCAACUUUGUUAAAAUCUUAGCCGUCGGUAGACUGUGAAAAUGACGUGAAUACCGUUCAACGGUGUCAAUCUGCUAUCCAAUUAGCAUGCACUCAGAUGGGGCCAAAACGCAACGCGUCUCAGUCUCCAACCAAGGAAUUUCUGACCGUACCACAAUUUCUCAGAACAAACGUCAAAUGAUCCUGCGGCUACUUUCGGUUCGCACGUGCACAAUAAGACGCGUGUGGACGGAUACAUUACGUCAAAAUUCCCUCAAAGCAAAGAAAAGCAAAGCGAUUUCCCACUUCACAAAGUUCAGCUGUCACGGGCUCACGGCAUGCAAUAGUGUGUGUAUAUAUAUAUACAUACACAUAUAUAUAUAUAUAUAUAUUAUAGAAAAGAAGAAGGGAAAAAUUGGUAAUUGGCCUUGGCUACUGAUUUUGGGACUGACUGGUGAUGUGUGUCGUUUUCAUGACUUGUGCGCCACCAUACCACAUAUUAAAAAUGAAUUAAUGCCCACCUUUUCCCUUCCCGUAGAGGGUACUUUUACUAUUAUUGCACCCUUUUUCUGUCAUUGUUUCCCUUUUUUCAUUUAUUAUUUUGGUAGGAUAUGUUAUUUUGAAACCGCACUAAAAUAGAGUAUUUUUUUCAUAAUCAUAAUAAUAAAAUUAUAAUAAUUUUUUUUAUUAUUUAUCACUUUAUGUGUGUAGUUGUGAAUUUGUACUCUACUUUAAAGUAACUCCAAAUACAUUUAUAUGGUUUACUAAUAUAAACGAUAGGAAAAAAUGAUGGGGACUAACGAAAAUCAAUAUUAUUAUGGAGUCUACACACAUAUAAGAGAGAAAAUCUAUCUUUAUCUAAUUAUGGGAGGAGGAUUAGACUCAAACCCACUCAAUUUGAUGAAGAGAAUAUUCUUACUACACUUGAUUGAUAUUUUCUCAUAUGUAUAUAUUUUAUGGAAAAGUGAAAAUAUAUAUACAUAUUACGUUUUAUUUUAAAUAAAUAAAAACACAUUUCAAUGUGAUUAAAAUUUACCAUUCAAGCAGAAUAUUUGAAGAAUAAACGAAUAAGUUUCAUUCACUUUAUAAAGAUUAGAAUCGCAGCUUAAUUUUAAAGAUUGACUAAAAAAAUUGUAUAAUUGUUGAUGAUAAGGAGAUGGAGGGCGCGAGGGUUAAUAAGGUAAAUUUGAGAAAAAGGAAAUGAGGUUUAGGGUUGAGGUUGGCGGGACGUUAUCCAGAGAAGCAUAUAUAUGACAGGCCGCCCAGCCAAUCAGAACUUCGUCGGUGCCAUGGGCUCCCUCUCAAGUCCUCUCCCUAACCAACCUAUUUAUAACUCAACUCUCGAGCGCUUUGACUAUCCUCCACAAUUCUUGUUAUACCCGUUCUGUCCCUCAUGUAAACGCGUGAUUACGUCCAUGGAAACGAAAUGUCAUUUUACAGAACUGCCCUCUUUGUUUUUUUGCAAUAUUUAAGAAAAAUUUAAAAGAAAGAAGAAAACAAAGCUUUGUUUAGCCAGUAAACAUCUUUUACAGAUGGCGUUGAAAUUGUCAAAAUGAUUUGCUUCAAAGCUUUUCAACAUAAAUUACAUAGUGUAAUUACGGAUAAGUUUAUGGCCUUAUUAUUUUGUUCAGCUAUAGCAAACAUUAAAAAAAAAAAAAAAAAAGCUCAAGAUCUUGAUGGAACAUUUGAGCAUUGACUAAAUCUCACUUUAAUUUGAUUUUCAGGAAAGUGCACAUCAUUGUUAAGUUUCAAUACCUUUUCUUACUAAAUAACUUGAUAUAUUUAGUAAAAAUAGUUAAAAAAAAAAGGUCUUUUCUUACUCAAUUAAAACCUUGACUCGUGUCAUUGAGUUUUGAAGACAACAAUACAUGUGAUGCUAAUUAGUUUACGAGAAUUUACUUAAAUAAUUAAUCCUAUUACACUAAUAAGGCGCAUAGGUUAAACAUGUGAGUACCUAAAUAUCUUCUUAAAUAAAAAAGAAUAUUAUUUUUAUUUUUAAUGUUUUUAAGAGUAUAUUAAUCAAAACGAGCUCAUUACAUAUUAUUUUAAAUACAAAUUAUGUAUCUCAAUUAUGAAAAUAUUAUAUAAUAGUUAUAAUAAAACUAAUACAAAUAAAAGAUAAAUUUAACAUAUAUUGCUUAUUCGAAAAUAAAUGAAUAAAUAAACUUUUCACGUUUUCACAAUAAUUAAAAAAAAAUAUUACCACACAUUUUGCUUGUUUUUUUAUUUUUAAUUUCAAACAUAGAAUGAAUGGAAUUAAAUUUACUCCCCACUCACACCAAACCACUUGUAUCCAUUCUUGAAAAACAAAAUCACAUCAUUCAUUCAUUAUUAUGACAAAGUAUGAUUUUGGAAGAUUACCUAGAAUUGCAUUUUAUUUUAUAUUUUACUUACUAAAUAUUCAACCACAACCCAUCUAAACACCAACACGAAUUAAAAUAAUCUGCCCCUAAAAUAAUCAUCAUCAAACAUUUUAUUGCAUCGUAAACAACAUAAACAAUUGCACUAAACAAUGAUUAGCACUAAAUAAGCAUAUAAAAUUUUUAAAGUUUAAUUAUAGUAUUAUGACAUUGAUUAUUUGAUACGAAAAAAGAGUUAGUAAAUCACAUAAUUGAACAUAAAUAAACAUAUAAGCAAUACUAUUCUCAAGUAACAUCUCAAAAUUUAAUAUAACACUCAUUUAUUAAUAAUUAAUUUUAUUAAAUUAUUUAUUAUUCCAUUCUCCCUUUCAAUGGUGGGAAGUUACCUAAGUUUAUAGCAUUACUAUGAAUAUUGAAAUCUCUCUAUCUUUUACUUUUUCUUUUUAUCCGCAUCGUUUUAUCAUGUGAACCUUGAAUUUAGUGAUCGAUAUUUUUUUUAGCUAGUCGUACUUGAUUCUCUGUCCGUUUUCGCAAAUUCAAAAGGGCAUUAAAGUAAAUAAAAUGCAUACCAAAAGAAACCUAUCGGAAGGUGGACUUUUGGGUAAUAGGAAAGGGAUACAAGGGCAAUAAAGGGAAUUCAUCAAGGAAGAGAACAACGUAGAUGAUAGAAGCAUACGUUCCCCCUUCUCUGAAUUCUCAUUCAACCCCCUCUACUAAGUCUUUCUCUUAAGAUGAAUGGGUCUGUCUCUCACACUAUCUCUAGGUCUCUAUUAUCUAUCUCCCUGUCCCAAUAGCAAAUUAAAGCAUGAGCACAAUAUAUCAUAACAAAACAAAGGCACAGCCACCUUCUCAUAAGAAUGGCAAGAACAAGAUAUAUUGUAUAAAAAUUACAAAAACAAAAGGUGGUAGAUGCAUGACUUUUUAAGUUUUAAGCCUGAGUGAGCGAGCCAGCCAGCCAGCCACCCACACAACACAACACAAGUCACAAAUCUCUCAUUUAAAACAUACAAAGCUUUAGCCACCUUCCCCUUUCCGUAAUCCUAAUCCUCUCCUGUCUCUCUCUCUCUCUCCCCCCCUCGGUUUUUACGCUCUCUAAACCACCAGGGUCAGCAGGUACAAUACAAGCAAAAUGACUUAUGUUCUCUCUUUGUAAUGGCUGGUUUUGCCGCCUCCCUUUUCUCUUUUUGAGUAAUGGGCAUUCAUUAUUCUCUACUGGGUUUAUGUGCAAAGCUGGUUUUGUUUUUUGUUUUUUGUUUUUUAUUUCCUUUCGGUUGUGUGGUCUCUUUUGAUCUUGUGGUUUUGGGGUUUGUCUCUUUCUUUGUUUAUGAAAGGUGGUGGGUUGGUGGGUAAGGUUGACUUAUUCACGAUGAAGAGAGACUUUAUAAUUCUUUUCAAGAAUCGCUUUUGGGAAAUUUUAGUAACCUCUACUCGGUGAAUAUGGGUUAUUCCGGUUUACUUUAUGCUGCUUGUAAACAAUUUUUGUACUUAUUUUCCUUUCAUUUAACUUUGUCACCCUGUCUUGGUAUCAAUGAUGACGUUUGUUUACUCAUUUUGGUUUUAAGUUGUUUAUACAAUCUAAGCAGGAGUCCGCUAUUUGAUUUUAGCUCGUAUUUAGCGGCACCUAUAAGUAGUAUUUUGCUCAUGAUUUUUUUUUUUUUUUUUUUUAGAGUUCUUUAGUUGCUUUACUUGGUAACUGGAGCUAGCUAACAACCAUAACUAUUGGGUUAAUUUUAGCUGGAGAUAUAUUUGUUUUAAAAAAAGCUGGUCAUUAGCUCACAUUGUAGGAGUUUUGAUGGUUAGUGGUCAAUUGACGCAAGGGAACUUUCUUGCUUCAUAAAAAUUUGCUAUUCCUCCUUUGUGCAGUUUAGUUUGCUUCUCCAUAGGAAAUUACAUGCUUUCAUCCUGUUAUACUUGCAGUGAGCUCAAAUUGCUGCUCCAAGUAACUAAUGGUUCAAAUUAUAUUUGCCUAAAUAUUAUUUUUUGUCACUGAAGUUUUCCUUUUAAUCAAAUUACUUGAAAAGAUGUAUAUCUUUUGAUGCUGUUUUCCUUGUCUGAUAGCAUUCUGUUUUUGCUUUUCUUCAUGUUCAUUUUUCAAUUAUUGACUGCCAUCCUAUUUUCAUUUAAGUAUAUUACUGUUACUGUUCAGAUUGCUUUUUUUUUUUUUAAUCCAAUAGUAGUUUUAAUUUAUAAUUUUUUCCCAAUAGGAAUUCAGAUUCUUAGGCAUUCUCUGUUUAAUCUGUUUUUGGUGAUCCUAGAAGCCAACGGUAUAUGGGAAGAGACACCAACUAGGUCAUUGUGCAUUGUUAGCAAUAUUUGGAUCCAUCAUGGUGAGUUUACGAAGGCGCAAGCUCCUGGGACUCUGCUCUGGUAAGCAUCAGUUGAAACAAAAGCGCCAUGCUUUUAGUUGUUUAUUUUUUUCAGUUCUGCCUUAUUAGCAGUUUGCAAGAAGAUAAAUUAUAAUAUACGAAAUUUGUUUAUCACUUUUCUUAUAGGGGUUCUAUGUCAUGUGAGAAUUAUAGUGAUCACCAAAUUUGGUGUGACUUUGCAGGAAAAAGUUCUUUUGUGGCUCCUCUUCCUAGGACUUCUGAAAAUGGUAAUGCUCCAGAGAAUUCAACCCAAAAUAUCAGACCUAUCAGUCUGCGUCCUAGUUCAUUGGAUAAUGUCAGCCUGCAAAGAGGGGUAUGGAGGGAUUUUAAUUAGAUAUUUCUCCAUUUUGUAUGAAUUUUGCAUUUUUGAAUAUUUUCUUCUUCUUUAGUGGAGAUGGAAGUUUUUUAAAAUCAUAGUAUUUGUGCUUUUUCUUAGCUCAUAUAGCUACUUGUCACUACCUUCAUUGCACAAAAUUUGAAGCAUCUCUAAAUGUGAUGGUAUGGGGUUUAAGAAUUGAUCAGUGGUGCUGUCUAGAAAAGAAAAACAGAACACACUAGGAUUAUGAAGUUGCUUAAAUCCAGUCUUAGAUAAUGAAAAUCUUUUUCUUUCGUUUAGAUAUGUGGUUAUAUCAUUAGCGACAGAGGAGGGCCUUCUCCCAAAUUAUAGGAAACCACUCUCUGCAGAGAAAUGCCCAAAGCUUAAUAUUUCAAAUUAUUUGGUGAUCACCAACUCACUUUAUACAAUUGAACAUGUUUUAAAUGAUGUAAAUGCAUUGUUCUGUGAAGAUGAUUUACAUUUCAUUCUUGUUUGUGUGUUUAUAUGUAGUUGUGUAUCAUAGUAGCAUAAUGUGGCAAUUUUAUGUGGAAGUAAGUUAAGAUAUCUAACUAUGGAUAAAACUAAGCCAGGUAGAAUUUUCGCACACACCACAUUUGAUCUUAGCAAAAAAAAUGUAUAUUUCUUCACUAAAAGAAUAUAGGAGAGUUAGAGACAGUGAAGACUUUGCUCUCCUCUCCUAUACAUGUACAUUUCCAUCUUGGGUACCCCUGUCAAUUUGGAGGAGGGGUGAUCAAAUGUCUCUCUGAUUUAGUACGAGUGAAAGGAUAUGAUGAGUUCCCUAUCAAUUGACACUUGGUCAAUCAAUUGCAGUCUGGGAUAUCCCUUCUGUUCAAAAACCUCCAUCUUUGUAACCUGGUUUCUUACCGCCGGAAUUACAGAGCUUGUAUAAUUUGUCAAUCCCAAAGGUCUGGCAGUGCCUGUGAACUUGGCAUGUAGGCCAACUGUGCUCUUGAUUUCUAGUACCUUUUACUCAGAAAGUAAAAUAGCGUAUGUACAUGAAAAAUUAUUUCUAGAUCCUAUACUCCCAUCAUUUUCUGUUCCAUGAGUUUGAUUUAAUUAAUAUGUGAUGGAAACAUAUUAACUUAGUGCAUGUUCUACAUAAUGAAUGCAUUAACGAGUUCUGAUGCAUGAUUUUAUGUAGUUGGAUUAUGUAAAAGAUAAGUAGUAAGUUGCAACUCUUGCAAAUUUUGUGGUUCAAUUCCAUAAUUUAUGCUUAUGAUUGUAUUAUUAAAUGGUAUUUCCCAGAUAGCUGUUGAAAAAGAAGGACCUGCAUCAUCCAAUGUGUCUGGUGCAAGCUCUCCAGAACAGCGGAGUAAAAAACCAAAAGAGCAGCAUGUUGAAAAUGAGCAGCAUUUUCCUUCAUUUUCAGGUUUGUCAGGAAUUUUUUUCCUGUGUGAAUUAAUUAUAACCAUAUGCAGAUUCAUUGGCAUCUGCCUUUACAAAUACCUUUAAUAUUUGAUAUGUUCUGGAACUUGGAUUUAUUAGAUAACAUGGAAAAAGUUUUGCUGGUUCUAUGUCUGUCUUGGAGGAAGCAAAUUCAUAUUUAUUUCUAAACAAUAUGAUUUUUCCUGAUUUACAUUGUUCACAAUUACCAUCAUAUGCUUGAUGAGCAGUCGCUGAAGUUCUCAAAAAGAAAAUGGUAUGUAGUUGGUGCUAUCUAAAUUACUUUCCUAAAAAUCGCUUCUUUGUACAAUUGAACUGUAAUUCAGUAAAAAUUGUUAAUACUACGAUCUGAACUUGCAUUCAAUAGAAAGCUGUGACUACCAGUUCUUGAGAAAUCUCAUUGAGAUUAUUCACUGAUACUUUUAUCAUUGAUUUUGAAGCAACAACUGCUAAUUAUCAAUAAAAUUGUUGAUUUUUGGUUGUCAUGUGUGGAAGCAUUCUUUUAAUCUAGAGGUAUCCCCUUUGAAUGAGUCAAUGAGGGCUUUUUCUUUUUUCUUUUUUCUUUUUUCUUUUUUGGGUCCUUAAACAUCUGUGUUUUAUCAUGCUGAAUAACUAUCAGAGUAGUUGGUAGAAGUUCUAAUAAAUCACCCAUGGAUCGAGAUUUCAUAGAGAGCUGAUAAGAAGGGAAUGAUCACACUCACUCAAAAGAACUAAACGCAGCAUCUUCCGAUGAGUACGAAAAUACUUUCAGAGACUCUGAAACUGUGAUUUUUGAGUGAAAUCCAACUGAAAAUGGACAACUUGGCCAGUUGGCUGUUCAAAUGGUUUUUUACUUCUGUCUGGUGGUAAAUGGAAUCAAAUGAAAUCAAUCUGGAGUGAUCUUGUGUCAUUUAUGGACUUAGUGAAUAUAAAAAUUCUGAGCAGAGUAACGUGUUGGUUGAAAUUGUUGGUUAGUCUAAGUGGUCCAAAAGUUGGUAAAAUCAUUUCGUUUUUCCGGCUUCUGAUGAUUAGAGAUUUGUGGUUGUUCCUCUUUUCUUCUUUCUCUCUCUCUCUCUCUCUCUCUCUCUUUUGGAGGAGAUGUGCAUCAGCAUAGUUAGUGUCUUAGUUUCCUUUCAGUUUUGUGUUCCUUAAAUACUUUUAAAUCCAUCUUCAUUUCCAUGGUGUCUUUUCUGUUUUUUCCCAAUUGCUUUGCUAGGGAAAAAAAAAAGUAAUGGAAUUAAUAUUUAUUAGAACCUAUUUCACAGAACAAUGUUGUCGAUACUUCUGUGAAUAAAUUGUUGUUGGGAUUUCUAUUUGUGCUGCAUCAUUAUGACCAAAGGCUAUUGUGAUUUGUUCCAUUCGCAGGGCUACCUAUCAAACGCAGAAAGCGACAUAGGAGGAAGCAAAUUCAAAACCAGGAACCGUGUCUAAUGAGAGGUGUCUACUUCAAAAAUAUGAAAUGGCAGGCAGCAAUAAAAGUGGACAAGAAACAAAUCCACUUGGGGACUGUUGGUUCACAAGAGGAGGCUGCUCGUUUGUAUGAUAGGUAAUGAAUUAAAUUUCACCAAGCACAUUAAAUAAUAAUUGUUAUCAUAUAAAAAUAGAAUUCAUGUGCUUGAAUACCAGUUUCGCACUGCCAUUACUUUCUACAGCUGUGUGAUUCAGAGAAGUAUAGUCCAUAAAGAUUAUGCAGCAUAUGCAAAAUCUUUACCAGACAUCAAACGCACAUUUAAUCGUAUAUGACUUGCAUUUUUUAUCAUGAUUAUUAUAAUUUUGUUAUUAGUUUUGUAAACUGAUAUGCGUGUUUUUUUCUUUUAAUUCUUGAAUAACAGACUGGUACUACUACUCAGGAAUUUAAAACAAAGUUCUUUUAUUAUUAUUAUUUUACUGACAAAUCAAGUAUUAUUCUUGAUUCUAAACUUUAAACUAAUAGUGUGGGUACACUUACCUUUAGAAAGCAUGACCAAAAUGUUUUUUUUUUUUAAGGCUUGGAUAAAUCUCAGCUAUCCAUCUAACCUUAGGGCCCUUCCUAAAUCAGCUAAAUUGACAUAAUGUUAGAGGUCCCUCGGCUCAGAUGCUUGUCGGCAUUGUCCUUGUCUCUGUCGUCAUAAAAACUUUAGCCACAAAGGUCAUAACAUAGAACUGGUAUUUCCUGCAACCCCAAGUGUGGGACCCUCUAUUGUGAGGUUCAAUCAUUAUAAUUAAAUAAUAGAACUGAAAUGCAUGGAUGAAGUUGCCUCCAACUUAGUGGCUUGUCUAGAGAAGGCACAAGCACGCUGUUAUUGAGAAAUACUAGCAGACUAGCAGAGUUACAUAGUAGGGAAAUUUUUAGUUUGUGAAGCAAAACUAAGUAAGAAUCUUUUAUCAGAAAAUAUGCUAAUGGAAGUCGCACCAAGAAUUUGGUGAGAUGUAUAAAUAGAUGUAUGAAUUUGCCAGUUGGUCUGUGUCUAUGCAGGGCGGCUUUCAUGUGUGGGAGGGAGCCCAACUUUGAGCUCUCAGAAGAGGAGAAGCAAGAACUUAGGCAAUUCAAGUGGGAUGAAUUCUUGGCUUUCACUCGCCGUUCAAUCACUCAUAAAAGUAACUUCUGAAAAUUCAUGGCUUAAUCACAGUGCUUCUAUUAGUUUUCAUCCGUUAGAUGUUCUAAAAUGAAUUCCACUUUUUGACAAUAAUUUCAGAGUACAAAAGACGAGUUGGUGUAGGAUCAAAUAAGCGGUCUGAGUCUCCAUUGGAAGAGGAUGGUGACUGGGAUAGCAAGCAAGGAGUUAACGGCUUCUCUGCUUCAGAAGAAGCAGGGCAAGACUCAUCAGCCUCUUAGAAGCUAUGUUUUAAAAGAAUCGAGGCUGAAUAAUUGUAAGUUUCUAACGGCUCAGUUCUAGCUGACUAGCCUCCAUUUUUUUUGUAUAAAGGCUCCUAUUAGGGCUAAUCAUCGGAGAUCUCUGUGUUGUCCGUUAAUUAGACAUUUACAGGUUUGAUGCGAUAGAAUUAAAAUAUUAGAUAUUAGAUAUUAAUAUUUCUGAAUCAUCUUCAUUCUUAGAACACCAAAAACGAGUGAAGCUACAUAUUCAGCCCAAAUUUUCCGGUUUAUGGAAGAUCGCCCUCAUUUCCAACUCAUUAUUUUCUCUUCUGAGUUCUGCCCGCCCAUGUCUUCUAAAGCGCUCGAGAAACUCAUUAUUUCUGUGCUUUUCUGCAAUGUAAACUUAAGCAUCAGUGGCUUGGUUAAAACAACGCCGCUCAAGAAGUAGUACAUUUUAUUUAAGGCUAAAUUUGCCAGAAAAUAAAAUAAACCCCUCUCAAAGUACAAUUCGAUUUAACAAAUAAAGAAAUAUUUUAAGGUCUCAGUACUUUUUUCAAAAUUUAGGAUAUUUUUACCUUCUGAGUUUUAUGAAGAGGGGUUUGUUUUUAAUAUUGAUACACAGUAUUAUUACCGAUAUUAUAUCAAAGAUUAUAAUUAGUAUUUCUAAUCAGAUUAUACAACUGGGACUCUCGUGUCGCAUACAUUAAUAUUCGGAAGCACCGUCUAGAUUUUUAAAUUAUUUUUAAAUUUUAUUAAAUAUUCGAGGGUUGUUUACUCGACUCACGCAAUAAUAUUUAGAACAAUAAAUCUUUUGCUGAAAACCAUCAUCUGUAAUCCAAUAACAUUCACGUUGUAUCAUCAAAAAUUACUAUCACAUAUAAUCCAAGAACAUUUAUGUUAUAUCAUCAAAAAUUAAUAAACAAAAAUGCGGAAACGUACUUGAAUCCAUAACGUUGAAUUACUCUCUAGAACCAUGUGCUUAGUCUUCUAGAUCAACUAUAUUCUCAUAGAAAAUCCUUUAAAUCAUUUUUAAACCCUCAAAUAUUAUUGAAGAUAACAAUUGGUAUUUAUAAUCAAAUUGUACAACUGGGAUCCCUCGUGUCGUGUACAUUGAUUUUCUAAAGCACUGCUUAAAUUUUUAAACCAUUUUUAUACAACUGGGAGAUUAUACAACUGAGACCCCUCGUAUCGUGUACAUUGAUUUUCUGAAGCAUUGCCAAGAUUUUUAAAGCAUUUUUAUAUAAUUAGGACUACUCGUGUUAUAAACAUUGAUCUUCUAAAGUACUAUCUAGAUUUUUAAAUCAUUUUAAAACCCCAUCUAAUAUUAAGGGGUGUUCUACUCCAGGUGUCAUGAGGAGAAAAUUGUCUCUACUUUAAAACACUCUCUAAUAUUUGAGGGUUACUCACAUUUUGUGAGAAAAAAUAUUAUUUCCACUCAAUUAUAUUAUUCAAAUGCUGUCUACUCUACUCACAUUUUGUGAGGGAAAAGAUUAUCUCCACUCAAUAAUAUUCGAGUAAUAUUAAAAGAUUGUCUACUUUACUCGUAUUUCGUGAGAGAGAAGAUUGUCUCUAUAUUUUUUAGAGUUAUUUACUUCACUCAUGACAUAAUAUUUAAGAGUUAUUUACUUUACUCACAUUUUCCGAGGGAGAAAACUUUCUCUACUUAGGCCAAAGGCCCAUUAGUUAUAAGCACGUGAUUUCAAUAUAAAGAGAAGAUAUGAUAAAAGAUAAAUAAAUAAAAAAAAAACUUUUGCUUAGAUUAUAACUCAUAUUACAUAAGAGAUAUAUUGCUUCUAUUCAAUUAUUUCAUAAUUAAGGAAGAAAAUUAAACUCCUCAUAAUUAUUUUUAUGGAGUUCGAACAAUUGUUCUCCCACUAAGUUAAAUGCCUAUUGAUUAAAAAAAAAAUCCUUAGACUUCGCAACAACCCUUUUUAAUUGAAAAAUAUUGCUAUAAGCAAAUGCUGACGUAAGAUUGGCCUCGUUUACCAAUAAUAAAUUUUAAGCGGAUGGUGGUGCUUGAUCCUAACAGAUAUUUUACGUGCAUAAUAAAAUAAUUAAUUAAGUGAUUCUUGGAACAUAAUAAUUAAAUAAGAAAUUAAAAAUGGGCGGGAUUACUUUUAACCUAAAUAUUUUUUACUUAGAAUUUUAACGCAAAUUCUCAUCCAUUGAUCUUGUAAAAUCAAAUGAUAAAUAUAAAAUCAUUAAAUGUUACCAUUUUUUCAAAUUUAAAUAUCUGUUAUUGCUACUGCCAAGAUUAAUAAUAAAUUAUAAUUUAUGUUAAAAUUUUAAUUUUUUAAAUUAGAAAAGUAUGACUCUUUAAAAUAAUUGGGCCGUAUUUAAGCCCAAUAGAAUUGGGUAGUACUGAACGCCAAGAAUGAUGGACCCACAUAACAUCCGGCCGACCCAGCACCGUUUGUUAGUUGUGUCGUGUGAUUCAGAGUUCGGAGAUUGAAUUGACGCAAACAUAAACAAAGGGAAGAGAGCAUAUCAAAUGUCUCAAGGCGAUUCAAAGAAACUUGAAGGGGAAGCCCCAUCAGCAUCAUCAUCAUCUGACGGCUGGAAGGAGCGCAUCAUCGUUCCCACUAUCCUUGCAGGUAGCACUUCAUUGAAACGAAAGAAAAAAUUUACUUUUAAAGUUUUGUUUGUUUUGAAUGAUAUCCACCCUUAUUGUUUUGUUACUGGGCAGGUCUUGUUGGUGGAGUAUCUGGGUUGUUAUCAAAGCACCGGAAAGUACACGGGCUUGCUAAUAUUUCAGCUACUUAUGCCACUAACUUAUCCAUUGUCACUGCUUGCUAUUGCGGUUUGUUCUUUUCUUUUAUUUUGAUUCUCAGAUUCUUUAGUUGUAGUUGUUAUCGUUGACUGAUUUACUGAAUUGCGAUCUUUUGUUUCUCCAUCAGUAUAAGCAUUUUGUUAAGAAUGUUCUGAUGUUCCAUGAAAUCGAGUUACCCCAGCAAUCUUGUGAAAUAUGUUAUAACUUUUGUAAUAGUAGUGAGAGCAUGCUUGGUUAUAUAUGUGUUAGUACUUGGAUCAUAAGUUCAUGACGACUUCUUGAGUUUGAAACUACAGUAUCAAUACUUAGUGAGACAAAUCAUAUAUAAUCAUUCGAUUUUUGUAUAUCCUGUAGACUAAAGAGUAUCCAAAGUACCUGAUAUAUUUGUGUCUCCAGAGGGAAGUGUUUUUAAAAUGCUGAAAUGCAGAUACACUUGAGAGGCAUUGAGGAGGAUCAGUAAAAAGUUAAGAUUAUCGAAGAACAUGUUAUAAGAAGGCUUGGGUGACACGGUUACUCAUAUGUCAUCUGUUGUCAUGAUAACUCAUAUUGCUGACACAGAUUUCUGGUCAAGUAGGAAAUAAGUGCGUGUGAGACUAUAUAAAUAUAAACGACAUAUGAAUUUUUGUGGUUCAACACUUGACCUACGUUCAUGGGCGGAAAAUAGAGCAAUUACUAUUUAGAAAAAUGUACAAUGAGACUGCUCUUUGAUAUGAGUGUUUUAUUUUGUCCCCUUUGAUAAACAGAGACCCUUUAUUUAUAGUGUUCUGCAGAUAGCAUGAAAUUCAAAUCAAACUCUUCUUGGUCAACCUUAUUACUUAAGUUUUGGAUGAAGUUGCAAUUUUUAUCUCUAUCUUAUUUAUCUCCAUCUCACUUUUAGAUGGACUCGAACGACCUGCUUCUAGAAUUUCCUGACCCACUCUAGUUUACUUCCCGUAGAGCCUAUAAGCCUGCUUCCUAAGAUGGGUUUUAGUAUACCCCAGCUCAAUGACUUGGUAUGCAAUCCAUGAUUUGUUAUCCUAGUGCCAUAUACACUUUGCGGGAAAUAGGCUGAAGAAUCUUGGUGCUCCAAUGCAAGGUUGUUUAGUGAAUUCAUCCUUUCUCACUGAAAAGAUUUGCAUGGUGUUGUAUAACCAGCUUUGGAACUAAAGUUAUGUGUUUGUUAGUGCACUGACAAGUUGGAGUCUUCGUACUGGGACCAUACAUAUUUGAAUUGGACACCACCUUGAACUCUAAAACUCUUCUUAUGUGGGAUUUCCUACUUACGCAGUUGCAUUUGGGGUUUUUGUUGUCUGGUUAUCUCCAAUAAGGAUCAGUUAAGGCCUUUCUGCUGAGGCCAUUGAUGUAGUCGUGCCAAAGGUGCUGCCAAAGGAAAAUGCAGCACCUUUGGCUUCAAGUGGUUUCAGUUGAGAGUUAGAAAAUUUAGUUACUGACAAUGUUUUAACUUCAUGUAUGGAAUCUCUUCAGAUUUUUGGUUAGUCAUGAAAAUUUCUAAUUGGUAAUAAGUAGGGAAUUGCUAACAAAUGAUCGCAAAAUUUGGUUGGACGAGAAUAUUUCAUUCACAGAGAUUUGUUCAGAUUAGAAAUUUGUUUCUUUGAUUGGACAGGGGCACGUGAAUUUGUAAGAGUCAGUCGGAAAACUGAACCUGAUGAUCUAGUAAAUUCUGCAAUUGCGGGCUUCGGCAGUGGUGCUCUUCUUGGGCGUCUUCAGGGUAAAGUAUUGUGAUUCUCUCUCGUCUGUCUCUGCAUGCAUGUGUUUCUAGGCCAAAACUAUUUUUGGAAGUGUAAGCUUGCUUAAUCUCUACAAGAACCAUACCAAUCAGGCUAGUAAGGCAUCUGCUUUGAGUAACUUUCUUUUGUACUGAGCAUCAUAAAUUUGUCUAAGCCACAUCAGGGUCAUACCUAGAAUUCAAUCUGAAAUUAGCACAGUAGAGGCAAAGAUUUUUUGUUAUCUUGUACCAUUCCUCCUCCGAGAUUGCCAACAUUCCUUCAAUCUUCAGUGGAUGUAAGAAUCUUUUUUCAUUGGCUUUUAGGUGGUCAGCGUGGUGCACUGCGUUACUCAGUCAUCUUUGCUGUUGUCGGAACAACCGUGGAUUAUGCUACUCUCAGACUAGCACCGAUAAUAAGGAACUUCAGAGAAUCUCAUAAAGAUGGUGAUUGGUUGAAGUUGCCAGAGUGGUCUCCUAUUCAAGUACUUGAUGAGGAGGCACUUGCUGAAAAAAAAGCUCGGGAGCAAAAACUGUAUGCACAAACACAGCAGGCACUUGGUAAACUAAGAAAAGAAGAAUCUUGAUGUAUGUGUUUCUUUUCAUGUAGAGUCUUUUAGUAGAGUUUUCAUAUCUACCUAAACAAUGUUUCUGGGCACUCCUUUUUUGUUCAAAUGGCGUGACCUUUUAAGUUUGAUGGGGACUUUGUUUUGGUUGCCCCUCUGUGGCUCUGCUGAUAUUUUGCACCAGGAGGAUUCCAUGAGAAAUUGGAAGAUAAUCGAAAAAGAGAUUGCAGGGUGAUUGCUUGCCUCUUUGUUCAAUUCCACAAAAAGGAUAUUUCAUGAUAAAAGAUUACAUAAUGCUUUUAUAUUUGGUAAUCACGUCCUAGGUGGUCAUCAGUAUUGCAAUUGAAAUACUAGUAUUAUUAGUACCAUUAUAUAAUAUACUGGUGUUGGCAAUUCAUGGAGCCAAUUUCUCUUUGCAAGAGGUUGUGCUUCUAGUAAGAAGCUACAUUAAUUAAUGGAUCAAUUAUAGCAACCCGUUUGCAAACUAUCGAAAGCAAGUCAUGAUAUUGGCAUGUAAUUAUGUAAAGACUAGAUUGACUGGUGAGAUGAGGCAAUGAAAUCAUUCUGUACAGGCAGAUUAUUAUUAUUCUUAUUAUUUUCUGCACCCAAUGACCAGAAGAAGACUUUUGAAUGACAACUGCAGUUCUUCCCAGACACAAAGGAGGAGAAAAGAUAAAGAAAGUGGGAAUUCCUUCUCGGGUUGCUACUUCCAUUACUAAUAUACAUCAUUUACAAGGAAAUCAUGUCAAAAGAAAAGCAUAAAUGACAACAACAUAACUCAGAUCUUGUUUUCAACCAGCAGUCCAAAGAUCACACGCUGGCAUUGAAUCACAAUCCACACACUUAUCAUAAUAAAGAUCUACCCUUCUCAAAAAUAAAAUUAAAAAAAAUGCCAUGUUUCCACUUCAUCACAUCUCAGAUGACUAGUUCAAUGGAAGAACUCCUUGAUGCUUUGUGAUGUUAUGAAAGCAGAGAGACCAGGGACACAAACUCCAGCGUUACCCGUCCCUUGGACCUUGUAUUGAUCACAAAGUGUUCUGGGUAUUUUCUCAGUAACAUUAGCAAGCCAUACCAUGGUUUUUCUUUGGAUUCAGGACCAGGCCAUUCGUCAGCUGUGAGAUAUCUCCUCACUCGACUGUGAUGCCAGACAUCACCAUACUGCUCCACCAACUGCAUAAGAGAAAUAAAACUCCCGAUGUUCAAACAUCAUAGAAUAGUAGUACACCAAGAAAAGAGAGACAAUUGUGUUUGUGUUGGGGGCAGGCAGGGGGGUUUGGAAUAGAAAAAAGAAACGACCAGCAAAAUCAAGCAUUGGACAACUAGGAAUUGUAGAACUAAAAACAAGAUAGAGAAUAGCAUACAUUUGAUGCUAUAUAGUCAGUCCUACAAGGUGAUAGAUGCUUUUGAAAUCAAAGCACACUACUACAUUAGAAAGUACUCACUCAAGAAACUGAAUGUUCGCUAAACGCAUGAAUGCAGAAGCCCACUGGCCCCAAACCUGUGAUAUAUUUCCCCUUAAAAUCAUAUGAAAUCAGAGUUUAAAAGCCCGACUUUCAAACUGUUUACUAAUAAAAAGUUUCAAAGGUAGGGCCAAAGCAAUUACAAUUGGCAACCCAGCUUCCAGCAUUAACCAUAGAUAGUGGGGAAAUAGAUACUGGUAAUGUGCACAUCAGAAAGAAGUGGUGCUAGCAUAAUUUGUUGAAAGCGGCAUCCAAGAAAACAUCAGGUUUAUAAUACUAACAAAUGUUUACAGGUUCCAGACAUUCAGCAAACAAAAAAGAUAAUUCAACAACAUAACAUGCAGAUAAUGCAGAAUGGUGCAAUCAAGACCAUUAACAUCACCUACAUAUUGAUUAACAGUUAAUGGACCCAAACCAAAAUAAUGAAAAAAACUCUAACCUCAGUAUAUAGUUUCUCCAUAGGCAUCCAUUCUCCAGGACCACAAAGAUCUGAAAGCACAGUAGCUACAGAUGAUACCACAUCCUUUUCUUCCAACUGCAGCAGUUGCUGAUUGUCUGAUUCACGAUCAACCCUUGAUCUUCCCUCUCCCUUCUUCUCUGCAGGAACUGGACAUGAUAUGCCAAGGAGGAAGCAUUUUAUUAGACCCCACACAUUACUUGAAAAAUACAUAGACGUACUGGAAAAUGAUAAAAAUUGCAGAUUAGUAUUUCAAGCAAAAGCACCUUCUCCAUAGCAAACUCAUCAAACAAAAUUAAGCCAUUGCAAAAAUUAGUAGGACAAAAGAAUACUCAAUGGAAAGAACGAAACUUCCUUGAAUUCAUGAAAAGAAAUAAACUAGAACAAUCAUAAUCCAAAUUGACUAACUUCCAAAUAACGCAUACAAGAUGAGGUUACCAAGAAUGGAAGAGAACUUCUGAAACCCGAUAUGAAGGCCAGACAACAAACUCUACUCUUAGCUACUACAACUACUAUGGCAUUGUACUUUGUGGCAUAAAAUAACAAAUAGGUAAUAUCAAGUAAAAAUACUGCUAGUUUGGUUUGGGCAUAGGUUUGGUUACGGUUCUGAAGAAGCUAAUAGCAUAAGAACUUAGUUUAUAACAAAAACUGGAACUCUAAGCAUAACGCUCAGAAAACAAUUUACCAAGGACUUUUAUGCAUAAACACUGAGCACUUUCAAUGAUGCCAGAUGCAGGUAUGCCAAACAGCAAUCACGAAAUCAAGGUAGAAUGCAUGAAUCUAGAACAAAAGUUUCAAAAAGUUGCAAACUUCAUCAAACGCACAACUAAUAAUGAUCCUAAUGCAACAAAUGGCACCAUGGCACGCCAUAACUCUAAAAUUUUAAAUCACACCACCAAGUAGAAACAACAUAGAAUUGAAAGAUAAAAAUUUCAUUAAAAAAAAAAUGCUAACUCAGUGCUCCGGUCAAUCCAGACUUGCCACCAGAACCGCUACCGUAGCCCUCAAAGCCUCCUCCAUCUCUCCUGAGCUUCUUCCCACUAAGCCCCUCUUCUUCCUCCUCAUACUCCUCCUCAUAAUACUCUCUCCCUCUCCCUUUCUUCCCCGCCCCCGAUGCAACAGACACCGGGCCCACCAUCCUCCCCGUCUCGGCCCCACCAUAACCGUAAUGCGGAACCACUGCCGACGACCCGACGUAAUGCCUCGGCCCUACUGAGCCCCCCAAAAUACUCCUCACAGGCAGCAGAAAAUAAAACUCUUUGUCCCCAAUUUGCAACAAAUCUUGCGAAUCUAAUUUGACCGGAGGGUUUCCCGGCAGGUGGAGGACACCUUCGACGAAGCACCCGUUUUUGCCAAGCACUUCGAGGGCGAAACGGCGGCGAGUGAAGUCGUAGAAGAUGCGGGCGUGGUGGCGGGAAAUGUUCAUGCCGCCGCCCAGGCUUGAUAGGUCAACGUCCACGGUUGAUUUUUUCGAGUUUCGUCCCAGGAUUAUGGAGUACGUUUGCAUGUAGUACUCGAAAUCCUCGCCUUGCAGCUUUGCGAAGCCCGCUUCGACGUCGUUUCCGCUGAUUGUGCCCAUUCUAGAGAGAGAAUUGGGAUUCAGUGUCGCCAAGAGAGAGAAACUGUGACGGGAGGUAAAAUCGGAGAGUGUUUUUUUUCGUUUCCGGGAGUAACAGGUGCGUUUGGAUGCAGGAUUAAUCUUGUAUCCGCAGGGAAUUGAAGAUCUGACAAUUUUGCCCACACAAUCCGCUGUUCAAAUCGAGGAUAUUUAUGUCAUUUCGUGUUCCUAACAAAGUUAAAUUAGUCAUUUUAUUAGUAGUUUGACUAGUUUCUAUUGAUUUUUUAUUUUGGAGCUCCGUCCCACCGGCGAUAUAUACGAAGUCAGUGAGUACUGCUUAAACCCUAAAUCUUUUUAUUAUUAUCAUUAAUAGACGUGAAAGAUGAAUGAAAAUGUGAUCUGAUUUAUGAAAUUUGAAGUUUUUUUGUUAUUUAUUGUAAUUGAAUGAGUAAUUUCGACUGCCAGAUGAUGCGUGGGACAUUGCGCAAGGGCUUUGAGUCCUGUAACUCUAUAAAAUCAAACCAACGGGUCUGUGAAAAAAAUUUUAAGUUUACAAUCCCUUCUGAUGGCAGAGUCUAUAUGAUUUUAUAUUAUGCACUAUUUGUCAUAUUAUCUGUUUUUCUCCAUUUCACAUUGUUUUGACAGCAGCUUUAGAUCGAUUUGAUGUUAAAUUGCAUUUAAACUGCCAGAUGAUGAUUGAGAUAUUGCGCAAGGGCUUUGAAUUUCAUUCCUAAUGACUUAAUGAAAUAUUAAUGAUCUAUCUCUUCUGAUGGCAGAUUAUCAUUUAGAGUGGCAUACUGAAAUUCGGUGUUGAUGUAUUCUUCAUCAAUCAACUUUUAAGAUGUUUGAUAUUCUCUAAGUUUUUAUUUUGGGGAUAUAAUCACAGUUACUGGCUUGUUCUUCAGAAAGUCUAUCUCAUUCUAUAUGCUUUUAUCCGCAUAACGAUGAGGGUUGUGUAAUCAAAUGUUUCUUUUUUGAAUGGUAUAAAUGCGGUGCAUUGGUGCACAUUCACAUUUGUGGUUGGAUGCAUUUGGGUUACUGUUGGUGCUUGAGUCUUUGAUACUUUCCCUGCUUUUAUACCACUUUUCCAAUAUCAGGUGCAAGUAUUAGCUGGUAAUGUUACAGUUUUACCAUCAGGUCUCACUAAUGAAAAUCCUAAAUGUUAGUUAUUUGAAACAUAAUCAGGAUUCUGGAGGUGUUUUUCAUUUGAAAUUCGAUGAAGCAUGUUGUAAAGAUCUUGACUCUCUUGGUGGCCAUAACUGCACUCUGGUUUGGUCUCUUGCAGACAUCUGUCAUCCCACGUAGCCAUACGUGGUUGGUGAGUAGUUUACAUUUCUUAAGUUCUUGUUUUGUUUGUAUGUAUGCAUUUGCGUAUCAGCAUAUAAAAAUAUGCAUAACAUAAAUUUGUGCUUGUGCAUGUAAUUUUUUUUUUUUUAAUUUGAUUUGAGCCACCUUACCCUUUUGUUUCUUUUUUGCCAGCUGCCUAUCUAUUUUAUUGUGUCUCUGGGAUGCUAUGGUUUAUUGAUGGUUGGAAUUGGUCUGAUGUAUUUUCCAACAUGUCCACAAGAAGCACUAUUGUUGCAGCAGGUACUUUACUUUGCAUGUUCUUGUCAUGCUGGGAUGAGGCUACUCAUGUCAAAUGUCUUUUACGAGUGGAUGCCGAGCUUUUGCUUGAUCAUAAAGUUGUUUAACUUUCAAAACAAAAUUUGUUCAAUGGGUGAAGGGAGUCCAAAGCACUUUUCUUUUGGCUACAUAGUCAUAAUGUUGAUUUAUUUAUUUAUUUUUGAAUUGGUGUGUGUGAUUAAAUAUGCAAUGGGAUUGAACCUUUGACUCUGCUAAUGUUACUACUUUUAUGAAACAGCGAUCAGUAUUGUUAAAUAGGCCAUAGGCAUUCUGAAAUUCAUUGGUUACUUAAAUUUCUCAACUAUUAGAAUGAGGCUCAAGUUUAGAUUCUCUUAUAUAAAUAAUAAUUGAUUAUUUCUGAAUAAGAAAAUGGUGGAUGUAAAAGUUUGUUAGAGAUUUAGAGUUUACUUGUGACAAAUGUUACAUGCAGUGAACACUAAUGGGUGGAUUCAAUGACAUUGGCCUUGGUUUCCAACCAAAAGAUUGGAUAUUCAAAUCCUUGAGGUUGACCUACUUUUGAUAUUAUAUCUGAUAUUUUUUUGUAGGAUCUGAAGCAUUCCCAGUUCCAAACCCAGUGCAGGCAUUGGGAAGGGAAUUUUGGAUGAAAAAAAAAUGUUAAAUGCAGUAAAUUGUGGACUCUUUCAUUAGAAAGAGUAUUUUAAGUGAUUUUAACCAUAUUGAUAGAAAGGCUAGUGAAUUUGGAGAAGGUCUGGUAUUCUUUUAUCCCAUUUCAAUAAAUAAAGCAACCAGACUUUAGUUUUGUUUUUACAAUAAUUUCAAAGCCUAUAGAUCUAGAUCUAGCAAUAGUUGAUAUUAUUAAUUUGGCUUUUAGAGAUUUGCUUGUGUUCUCCAAAACCUUUAGUCGGAAGUUAAUGCAGUCUUCCGAGUUUUAUAAUACCUAUGAUCAAGAUUUGAUUUAUUCAUGUGCUUAAUGAAUUUGUAAAAUUUUGUUUUUUAGGACAUAAAAGAGGCAAAGGAGUACCUGGAGCGAAAAGGGAUUGAUGUUUCUGAGUAAUGGACUACACAUGGUUCUCAGUUUUUGAGUGACAGGACUCUUGCUGGGUGUGAAAUCUCAUGAACUUUGCUUGAUCAGCCGGUUGGAUGGUGCUCUGGAUUCACAAUUUUCAAUGUAGGUGUUUCCACUUGAAACAACUUUUUAAGCAAUUAAUCUUUGGGGAUCUCUGUUUUUCUUCUUAUGUUGACAUGAAUUCAUAGCCAUUGCCAAGGUGGAUAUUGGAAAAAAAAUGGUAUAUGUAUUCAGGGACUAAAGGAGCAAACAUAAAGAAAAUUUCCCAUUUAUUGCUUUUGCAGUGUCCAUGCAGAUUGCUAUUGCAUUUACAUUUGUUUUUUUUUUUUUUGGGGGGGGGCUGCUGUACGGCCAAGGCGGAUGUACGGGACNNNNNNNNNNNNNNNNNNNNNNNNNNNNNNNNNNNNNNNNNNNNNNNNNNNNNNNNNNNNNNNNNNNNNNNNNNNNNNNNNNNNNNNNNNNNNNNNNNNNNNNNNNNNNNNNNNNNNNNNNNNNNNNNNNNNNNNNNNNNNNNNNNUUUUUUUGGGGGGGGCGGGGGGGUUACUAAUUAGUGAUGAACUUGUACUGUGGUGACCGACUGUUGAGAUGGUUACUGACUUUUUUGGUUGAAAUUGAGUGGCUUUUAUUUAUAUUUCAAACACCAUUUCAAUUUUCGUGAGUGUUAAGAGACUGGAUGUACCAUAAGCAGCAUAUUAGUCAAUAUGUGAAAAGUUGGUUGAUGAUCAAAGUGUUAAAAUUUUUCUCGUCAGCUCAGGCCGAUUGUUGUCAGUGUUUUCAUUGUUUAUCUGCAAAUUUGUGGAAUUAGGAUGUCCCUUAAAGUUGGAUCAUGGGUUAAGUGAAAUAUGUCAUUUUUAUUCCGAUCUAAAUGUCACUAUCAAUCAAUUCUUUAGAGUCUCAACAUUAUUUGGCCGCAUACAUGUGACCCUCUGUGGUAAUUUAUCACCAUCAGUUUGCAUCAUGUAUGUUACAUGACAGGGAAUCAGUGUCAUCGACUCAUCGUAAUAAGGAUAAAUUUAAAGGAAUGCUUGCGGAACUUAUUUAAUAAAACUGUAUGAAAUUUUAUUUUUAUAAAAUUCUGUCAACCUAACAUUUGCAUGCAAUUAUUGUAUCACAUGAUUUUGUCCUCUGAAUAUUUAUUUACUUAUGUAUGCGUUAAAAAGAAGAAAAGAAAAUCCCACCUUUUUGCAUUUUCUUGCUACGAUGAAAGAUCUUGAACCAAGUAAAGUCAUUGCUGACACCUGCAAUUAGCGCAUAUACACACACACACAUAAUCUCAUUGCCAAACAAUGAAAUGCUUCUACAUUUGCAAAUAAUUUUCAUUUUUCUUCAAAAAAAAAAAAGAGAGAGAGAAAGAAAGAAAAAGUGGGUUUUAUAAAUCGUUUUUGGAUUCCUUGAAGGAAAUUUAUUUUGAAUAUUUUAAAGCGCAAUUUAUCUAUAAAAAAGAAAAAAAAAGCUAUCAUUAUUUAAAUUUCUAUCCACACUACGUCUCCAGGGUCAAAUGAUGAUUUUUUUUUUUUAAAUGAUUAAGCAUCAUGUUACUGUAUUACACAUAGAUAUAUAUAAUUACUAUGACAGCAGGUCAUUAUAUUAAUAUUUACAAUCAGAUAUAUGUAUGUGAUUUAUAUUAUUACAUUUUUAUUCUAUGAAGUACAUGUCCAUCCAAAUACUCCUUACGGAGGAGGGAUGUCUCUAUUUCACUCGUAUUUCGUAAGGGAGAAAUACGUUAUAAGAAGUCUCUACACAAUUAUCUUUAAUUAAGGGAGCUUGAAUCCGUGAGGAUUCGAACCAUUGCCCUUAUAAUCAUGCUUAACUUUGAGGACAAUAAUUCACCACUUGGCUACAAGCUCAAAUGGCAGGUCCAAUGACGAUUUGGAUAGUCUAUUUCAAAUCAAAAUCAAAUGGCCCAAAGCAGCGAUUGAAAAAUUCUGCUGAACUUCUUUUGAAGUGACAAGAGCAUAGUGCAAUUGGUCCCAUUUGGUUGAUGAUGCAUUUAUUUAUAGAGAUAUGAUUUAAUCAUCAUGAUUCUUUAAUCAAAUGUAACUUCUUCAUUGAUGCUCGAUGUUUCUGUACCAGUAAAGCACGCAAUUAUAAAUCACACACUUUAAUUUGAAGUUAGAAGAUCAUAUGGUAAUCAAUUAUUCCAACUAAUUUUGCAUAUGAUUAUAUGACUAUUCACGGUUCUUCAACCCGUUCCGCUAUUAUGGCUUUUAAAAGAAUUUCAAAAGUUGUUUUCACCUUCAUUUAUAUUUACUUUAAAACUCCUAUGUCAAUUUCACUUUUACGUUUAUUAUAAUCAAUAAACAAUUAAAAAAAUUAACAAAUAGACUUUAUCCUAUGAUAAAAUAAUGGAUAAAUCUAUGGUACCACAGUUGUAUGGUACUACAGCUGGAUCCAAUCAUUGGAUCUAGCCCACAGUUGUCACCAGAGCUAAAUUCAAUAGUUGGAUUCAGCUGUGGUACCAUACAACUGUGGCACCAUAGAUGGACCCCAAAAAUAAUUACCAUCUUCAUAAUAUUUUAAGAAUUGUUUGAUAUUAGCUUAUAAAUUUCUAAAUAAUUUUUUUUGUUUUACCAAAAAUUUAAUUUUUAAUAAGAAAAAUGAUUCAUUGAAAAAGUAUGUCAAAGAAGGUAACAAUAUAAUAUUGUUAUGAAUGAUUUGCAGUAAAAAUUGGCGUUGCAUUUUUCUAUUUUUGGAUAGGGUAACACGCCAGGCAUCUCUUUCUUACACAAUAGUAAUGCGAAGAAGAAGACACAGACAAGUAAAUUAAAAAUAAAAAUAAAAAUAAAAAGGAAAAAGAGAGAGAGAGAGAACAUUUCUUUUUCUUUUUCGAAAAAGAAAUUCUUAUUUUUAAAUAUUAAUUGAAGCCCAUUGCCAUUAAUAAUAUUUCCAGCUCAAAAACGCACACCCCUUUACUCAUUUCACGACCAUCUCGUCGCUCUUGUCCGAAGUCUGAACUCACAGUCUCUGUCUCUCUCUUCUCUCUUUCUCACACACACACACACACACACAAACUGAAAUGCCGCGCUCAGAUCCAUCUCUAUAACCAUAAAAACAAAACUUAACAGGAAUUCUUUUCAACACUCGACAAGAAGAAGAACACGCAAAAAGCUUUGUUUUUUUUUAAAAAAUGGGAGUGUUGAGAGAGUCGUGGUGUUUCUGCAAGGGGGUCUCCAAAACUGAGAGAAUGAAAGCCGCCAUUUUCUCCGGCAAGGGUCUGGCGAUGGCCAGAAUCUCCGUUGCCGUAAGUGCGGUUUCCGGUACCGGUUUCUUGAUCCACCGGAAUCUUCUUUUGACCACUCAUGUGAAUCUUCCGUCUGUUGCUGCUGCGGAGACUGCCGAGAUCCGCCUCCAAAACGGCGUCGCUGCAGCUCUCGUUCCUCACAGGUUUUCAAUUCUUUCCUUUUUUAUUUAUUUUUAUUUUUCUUUUAAGAUGUGUUUAUUUUUGUAUGUUUGUUGGAAUAAUUUAUCUUUUUCGGUUUUAGUGGAAAAAUGAAAAAACUUGUGGGGCCGUAGUGAAUGAAAAUUAGGUGAGAGUUGUUUUUAGUUGAAAUUGUGCUGCCUUAAUAAAUUUAUUAUUUGCCAAUAUGUAUAAAAUUUAAAGCACCCUUUUCAAUUUCUCAGGUCUUUCUUUUUUAAGGCAAUCUUGGUUCUGAUUUACCAUGCUUAUAAACAUAAUCUUGAUACUUUGUGGCAUUUUGUGGUUUUUUGGCACUAGAGUAUCAGUGAUACGCAUGAUAAAUAUGAAUGUGAAUACAUACAGAUACCACACUUACUGAGAAGUUUGUGAUCCAAGAGGAUAAAUUCAACCAUUUGUGGAUGGGUAAUUAUUGCAUGAAAGAAUCAAUAGUUCAUGAUAUUUUUGUAUGAAUUUGCUUUCUCAGUUGAAUUGAUGUUAAGUGGUGCAAAGUAUGGUGUAGAAAUUGCCGACGGACUUGAUUGCUAAGGUAUGGACAAGGGACAAGUCAAAUUUAGAUGAUCUGCUGCCCCCUUGAUGGAAAGUUUAACAUAAAUGACCCAGAGCUGCAUCCUAGAGAGUCAAUAUGUGUGCGUUAUCUGUCACAAUGUUUCACUUUAUCGGAGUUGCAGCUGUCAUUUAACUGCUAUGUUAUACUUGUAGAACACUGGUAAUUAGUGCCUGUUUAGUAGGGUUUAUUUAAUAGUCAUAAGUACUUAUUUAAUCCCAUAAGCUCUAAUCAAAAUAUUUUGUAAUUGUUUGGUUGUGUUUUUGGUAGAGCUUUUGAAGAUUAAAUAAGUUAUUUUGCUACUAUUUAAAGCCCAAAUUUUGGAUUUUUGGGAGUAGAGGUUGGAAAGCACCUUUCUAAAUGUUAAAAAUAUUUAAAAUAUCAUUUACUUAUCUGAAAAUUUUAUUUUAUUCUUUUAUAACACAACUUUGAAAAACUUACCUCUUAAAAUAAUUUUACACUUUUUAAUCAAAGUUGUCAUUGACAACCAAAUAACUAAAUUGUUCAGAUAAAAGCUCUAUUUGUAAAAGAUUCUAUCACAAACGCUCUACUUAAAUAAGCUCUAUUUGUAAAGCUAUAUCAAACAGAGCCUUAGUCUUGUAAGUUUAAUAUAGUCACUUUAAAUCUAAUAGAAGUUUGGGAGGUCUCAAUUAUCUGUAUUAUGAAGUUAUGCCUCUGCUGCAGUUCUGCUAAGAAGAAUAUAGCUCUCAUAAAAGAAAAUUGUCCUCUUAGUUGCUAUUAUUACAUUUGCUUGUACUUGAAAAUGGAAACAACUCUUAAAUAUUCGAUGGUGAGUCCUAGUAGAUAUUCUAAGUUGACAAGAGAAUUCAGAUGCUUUUGAGUUCAAUUUAUUUUCUUGAUCAGUUUGCAGGGUUGAUGUUCCAAGGUUUUUGCCUCUAUGGCCAAUUUAUUCUGCCUCUCCAUUGGGUUUACUUCUUGUUUUUAUAUCAUUGUUCUAAAUUGUAUUAAAUUCCCAUCUUAUAGCCGCUUGCUGCACAACCCCUGACUAGAAUGAUGUCUUUGGCUUCAUUGAAUUUAAUUAUUUAUUCACAGUGGUAUGCUGGAUAAAUUAAAGGGAAUGAGAUAGUGAUAAGUGCAAUGCUUCAUAUGUUUUAUUGUUUCUCCGAUAUUGUGUACCACUGAAUGGAAUUAGUUUGUCUUUCAUCUGGUUUCAGGUUCUUUAUCACCAGCUCUGUCCUAGAUCUUACAAUAGUUGGUUUGGAUUCUGCUGAUGGCGACUCAAAUGCCCCUGGUCAGCAGCCUCAUCACUUGAAGACAUGUUCUAAACCAAACCUGGAUCUGGGAAGCAUUGUUUACCUGCUAGGCUACAUGGAGGAAAAAGAAUUAAUGGUUGGUGAAGGAAAGGUGGCAAUAGCUACAGACAAUCUCAUAAAACUAUCUACUGAUGGAAUAAUAUGGAGUCCUGGAUCUGCUGGAUUUGAUGUUCAAGGAAAUCUGGCAUUCAUGAUUUGUGAUCCUAUGAAACUGGCAACAUCGCCUAAUACAAAGUCCUCUUCAACUUCAUCGUCUUCCUCAUCAUCAUGGAAGAAGGACUCUUCUAUGCAGUUUGGUAUUCCGAUACCCAUAAUCUGUGAUUGGUUGAAUCAGCACUGGGAAGGCAACCUUGAUGAACUAACAAAACCCAAGCUACCAAUUAUUAGAUUGAUGUCCACAGGCCAGAAGAGUGAACAUUCUUGUGCUUCAUUCACAAUGAGACAGGUAUUUAAGUCAACAGAUGACGGUAAUGAAAGAACACCGUCUUCAUCAAAUAUAUUCUCAAAAGCCAGGGAUCAAACUGGACCAGGCUGUUCUGCUGGGGUAAGUAUUCGUGAAGAAGAAACCCUAAGCAUGGAUCCACAUGCUACCCAUGUGCAGGGAAUCCCAACUCCAGAAAUAUAUGAAUCACCAAAGCUGACUUCAGUACCGAUUCAGAAGAAAGCGAGCAGCCAAAUCCAGCUUUUAGAUAUUAACUUCCCUCCGAGGGUUGCCAAACCUAUGGUUUCAUUAAAGCCACUCAAACGAUUGUCGCUUAACUCGGAUGAUAAUUGUGACAAUGAACCUCAUCCAGAUAGUCCACCAAGAGAAGAGGACACAAUCAAAGAUAGGGGACUGAUCAGUCCCAAUGCAGAAGCUGAAAAUGCUGAUAUUGCCUCAACAGGUUCUGUGAAUGGUGUCCAAAGCGAGGUCCAGUCAAGUUCAUCUCCAGUAGAAGUUUUGGGAAUGUACAAUGGCUAUAGCAGUGAAGGGGAGACAACAAUGUACUCAGCAGAAACUGCUGAGAGCCGAAACUAUACAAUUCCUAGAGAAGGAAAGUUUCAGCAAGUGGGAAGAAGCCAAAGUUGCGUGGGUUACAAUAGAUGGGGUGAUGUUCAAAGGAACAGUAUGCCUCGCCAGACAUUGACAGAAAAGCAGAGCAGCUUAAUCCAUGGGAAGAAGAUGUACUCACAAGGGGCAACUUCUCAAAGGAGUAAUGAUCACUACUUCAGCCCCACAGUUUCCUCAAUCAUGAAGAAGCGGAACAACUCAGAGCAGCCAAGACCUAGUAAACCACGACCAAGUGCUGUUCAUUCAUCUCCGAGAUGGAUGUUUUGAUUGAAGAGCGUAAUCCCAACAAGAUCUAAAUAGUUUUUUUUUUUUCUCUCCCACUUACAGUCGCAUGCGUAGUUUAAGAGCGUAAUCCCAACAAGAUCUAAAUAGUUUUUUUUUUUCUCUCCCACUUACAGUCGCAUGCGUAGUUUAUGCCUGAAUUCAUACAUAGUGUAAUUAAUUUGUUGUAAUUUUGUGUAGACCGAUUCAAGAUGAAUAAGAAAAUUCGCCCGGGAGAUUGUAGUUCCAUAUUGUCAUGUAAUUUUGGUGGGUAUAAUAGGUUCGCCAUUGUUGGACUUUGGCAUCACAUAAUGUUGGAAUUAGGGUGCAUCAUAGCUCUUAGAGUCCGUUUGGAAUCACCGGUGGUCAAUUUUAAAGGUUAAACAUCAAAUGAUAUGAGAAGAAAACACUUACAGGUUGUGUUAUCUAACUUGAGAAACAUUUUAAGCAUAACAGUAUCAACCAUACUUUAGGAAAACUAAUAUAACUGCAGAAGGCAUUGCUCAUUUCGAUCCCCCUUCCACUGGUAAAUUCUUAUGAAUUUCUUAAAUUUGUUGUAAUCUUUAGGAUUGCUUAAAAGCAGCUCAGCUCAGGAUGUAUUUCAGUUUGUAGUGAAGCAAUAACAAAAUGGAGGAUUGGUGUUUCAAGUGUUUCAGGGUAACUAAAACCUUUUCUUUUUAACCACUCGGGCAGUAGCCCGAGUGGCCAGGGCUGCUGCCCUCCAACUUGGAGGGCAGCAGUUCGAAUCCCCACAAAAGUAUUGUGGGGGUAUUUCAUUCUUCAAUUAAUUUGAGUGAAUGUAGUCUUCUUUCUUAUCCAUGAGUGAGGAAUAGACAUCCCUCGAAUAUUUGUGAGGGUUAAAAUUUGGGCAGAGCUCUAUUAGCAUUGAUGUCAGUUGGUCCCAGUAAUAGUCUGAUUUAUAAAUAUCAAUAAUAAUAUCAUGUAUAUGAGUUAUAAUCUGAGCAAUAGUCUCAUGUAAUAAAAAAAAAAAAAAAAAAAAGCUAACGGAGAAGGAAAAGAAAAAAAAAAGUGUAAAUGAACUGUAUUCACCUAAGUUUCAAACAUGCGGUUCAAUCUCCGUAUUCAUUGGCAAAAUAAAUCUGAAUACGUAUAUAUUCAUUGGUAUUAUUGAAACGCACGGAACUGAACUGAAGUCAAAAGAACACGUGCAUCUAUACAAAAACACGUUCACUUCCAGGUGGCUUACUUUUGUCUGGCUCUGCCGAUCCCCGAUCCCGAUGCCAGUCUCAAUUCUGAAGUCUCUACCUUAACCACUCGUCAACAAGUAAAUGGCAGCCUCGUAAUUUGAGUUGAAACCCAGUGUCAAUUCCCUUGCCGCAUCGCAUCCUCGGUCCCAUCGCCCGAAAAGCCACAAUAGAGCACACCACAAGGCUCUUACAUCUUUAAACGGAGACAGAGAGAAAGAAAGAAAGCUUUCUCUCUCAACACAAUCUGGUUUUAGAGAGAGAAAAUGCUGAAGCCAUUUUGCAAUGUGACGGACCAAGCCCAAUGCAGAUUCCUGGGCCUACCCAGCCCCGUUCCUCGCUUCCGCCGACGUUACGCCGUCGUUCCAUGCUCUCGCCCGAUGAACAAACCCACAGCUCCCGUUCAGGUACAGGCGGUUGUGUCGGACCAGGGAAGCCCGGCUCGGCUCGAAUCCGGGCCUUGCAGCUUGGCGGAUCGGCUCCGGCUGGGGACCUUGACGGAAGACGGGUUGUCGUAUAAGGAGAAGUUUAUAGUGAGGUGUUAUGAAGUUGGAAUUAACAAAACUGCCACUGUUGAGACCAUUGCUAAUCUCUUGCAGGUACUAAUAAUUUUCAAGUCAAUUUUUUUCGUGAUUUGCACGUGCUGCAUUACUUUGUAUUAUUAUUUGAUUUGAUUUUUGUUUUGUACUUUUUUCUUUCAAGAAAUAAUUAAUUUGUAUUCCAACUGUGGCAGCGCAUUUGUUUGGUGUGAGUUGCGUGUUAGUAUGUCUUUGCAUGUAUUUUUCAUUUGGUUUAUUUGGGAUUUGUGGUAAACGAGGGUUCCUGCUAAUUUGGCAAACUCCCUGAAGUUUUAGCAAUUGGUUAUUGGCUAUCUCACUGAUUGCACACCUUAUGCAAAAUUUCUGCGUAAAGGGGUUUGUGAUAUUUAUCAAAAAGAAAGUGAUAAAUUGAGCAUAAGCAGUUGUGAUGAUAAAAAUUCACCAUAUUGGUUUGGUUUCCAUGUCUUUGUUGGACAAAAAUUUUAGUGCAUGGAAUGAAAUAAAUCAUAUCAGUUUCUCUCUCCAUUUGUUUUGAUGAUUCAUCAUGGGGAGAAUAAUUGUAUUGUAGGAGGUUGGAUGUAACCAUGCGCAAAGUGUUGGAUUCUCAACAGAUGGAUUUGCAACAACCACCACUAUGAGAAAGCUGCAUCUUAUAUGGGUGACGGCCCGUAUGCACAUUGAAAUAUAUAAAUACCCUGCUUGGUGAGUCUGCUUUUCUUUUACUUGACAUUGCUAACUUUGAGAUUUUCGAUUUUCGAUUUUCGAUUUUUUAUAUUUUCUUUAGACAAUGAAAACUGCGGGCAUUUGGUACAGGAGUGAUGUGGUUGAAAUUGAGACAUGGUGCCAAAGUGAAGGAAGAAUUGGAACUAGACGUGAUUGGAUUCUGAAGGACUAUGCCACUGGUGAAGUUAUUGGAAGAGCAACGAGGUGCACUUUUAACUUUCUUUGAUUCUUCUUUUCUUUGCUCAUCCAAAUAAAAUAAAAGAAGAUAUAGAAAGAGUGAGCAUUUGUUUUCUCAUUAGCUGAGCUAUCCUUUGAGUGCAUGCAUGUACCCAUUCAAUCUGGCCUCAUCCAGAUUAGCAGUAUGCAUCUUCUCGAUUAACUUUCAAGAGUAUCUAAUCUUGCAGGAUAUGUAGUUUCUUGGUGACUUUCCUUUUAAUGUGAUAUCUAUAAUUCAUUGCUAGGGGCUUUGAGAACCCCCUUUUACCCUUCUGACGCCUUAUACUAGCAGAGGAUUUAUAUGCCAUAAUAAGUCUCUCUUUUCAAUUAUAUUUCUUUUAAUAUAAUUAUUGUUAUAUUACUUCUCGAUGUUUCACUAAUUAUUAAUAUGUUUGAAUGCUUGUUAAGAUUUCUGUUACUUCCUAUAAUUAACAGAAAGGGAAAUCACAUACAUAAUUUUAACUUGUUUCCACAAUUUUAUGUUUAAAUGCUGCUACAUUUUCAACGAAGGGACAGUGCAUAUUCUUUGUUAUUUGAAAAUAUUUACAAAGUAAUACCGAUGUAUCCAAAAAAUAUCUUUGGGGGAUUAUACAACUGCAGGUAAUGGAACUAGUUUAAGUGCCAUCAGUCAUCUACAUAUUUGUGAAUAAAGAGGCCUCUAAGAUUACUACAUUUUCGUUGCAUUUUCUUUUAUGGUCUAAACCCUUUUCAGUCAGUCUUUUAGCAAUUUAAACAGUCAAAUAAGGUUACAGUAAAUGGGUCAUAUUCUUCUGGGUAGCAUAGUCUUGGAUGCUAAAACUGUCACUUUUGGCGGUCAUCAAUCUGUAGUCAGAUAUAUGUGAUAACAUGGCUAUGGUAGUUUUAACGUCUGAAUGAGAAAAAAUAUUCAUUGUAGUUUUAUUCAUUGUAGUUUUGCUUCAUAUGCUCCCCUUUACUUCACAGAUUUAAGUUUUAUGCAUGUUUUAAUUUCCUGAAGUGACAUGAUAUUUUAGAAGUUGACACUGCUACAUCAUAUGAUUUCAGCAAGUGGGUGAUGAUGAACCAAGACACUAGGCGGCUUCAGAAAGUUAGUGAUGAUGUCCGAGAAGAGUAUUUAGUCUUUUGUCCUCGAGAACUCAGGUAGUGUGCCUUUUCCUUUAUCCAGGCUUGAACUGCUACCUUUUAAAUCUUUAUGGAGACUGCAUUUGAUACAUAUUUGGAAAAUUACUCUGCUAUAUUGUUGGAUGGAGUGUUGAAGUCCUAAUGCAUAAAGUGAUACACUCUUGACCGCAUUAGAAUAUUUUGAAUACCAGAUAUUUUGAUUUGUCCAAAUGGGAGGCUAUGCAAGUUUUCUAAAUGUUGGAGUUUUGGACAAGAUUGAAAUGAAACUUUGGGUUUGAAGUGCCAACCAUUGAGAUGAAUAUUUGAGAACUGUUUCAAAGUAGAAAGUGAAUGAUUGAGACAGUGAUAAUUUGCCAAUUUUAGGCUAAUUCUUUGUUAAUUGAAACACAGAAGAUUCCCGUUGAAGUGACCUAAAACACUGUUAGGACUUAAGUGCAAAUGCUAUUGACAAUUUUUUAAAAUGAAUUACUAUUCAUGUAUUUUUCCUUUUUGUGUGUUAAAAUGUAUGAUCUACACCCUCUACAUCUGUGCGCACACGCGCAUAUAUGAGUGGAUGCAGGGGUUUGGCAAACACUCUUUGCUGGUGGCCAUUGCUAAUUUUUUGCUGCUUAUUAGACUUCAUGUCUUGAUGUAGUAAUGUUUCUUGGAUUGUCUAGAGUAUGGAAUUUGCUGCAUUAUGAAGAUUUCUGUAUUCCUUUUUAUCCUUUUCCUUGUAUGUGCGGCGAUGGAAGUUCUGAAGAUGGUAAACAUCCAACCUUACUGGAUUUGAAAUUAGCUAAAUAGUAACAAUCCUCAGCUUUACAAAUAGAAUUAGAUUGUUAAUGUCCAAAUUCCAAAGUCCCGUAUUCUCCUUUCUCUUCUUUCGCACAGUAUCAGUUUUAAGUGACAUUUUGUUCCUGUAAUAUUUUUUGCGGCAUAUGUAGGUUAGCUUUUCCAGAGGAGAAUAGUAGCAGCUCAAGGAAAAUUUCAAAACUUGAAGAUCCUGCUCAGUAUUCCCGGCUAGGGCUUAUUGUGAGAACAAUUCAAUUCAUCUAAAUGUAAAUGCUUUCGAUAUCUGUCACAUUCUCACUUCUGAGUGUGCUUUGGAAUUUGCAGCCCAGGAGAGCUGAUCUGGACAUGAACCAGCAUGUUAAUAAUGUCACCUACAUUGGUUGGUUACUUGAGGUUAGUACAAUGAGGAUGGCAACGAAGCUCUUCUUGGCUUUCUUAUUUUUGCCAAACCGGAAUUGUUAUAUCUCUACCACACUUAAAUUUUUCUUGAGUAACUCCUGUUUAUGCAUGACAGAGCAUGCCUCAAGAUGUCAUCGACACCCACGAACUCCAGACUAUCACCUUAGAUUACAGACGAGAAUGCCAACAGGACGAUGUAGUUGAUUCCCUAACAAGUGCAGAACCAUUCGAGGAUGCAGAACCAGUUUCAAAACUUCAGGGAACAAACGGCUCACCUGCCAUAACUGGAGACAAAGAGGACAAUCAUCAAUUUUUACACUUGCUGAGACUAUCAGGUGAUGGCUCGGAGAUAAAUCGGGGCCGUUCAGUGUGGAGAAAGAAACCUGCCAGAUAAGGAAAUAAUUAAGUUUUGCUCUCUUAUUUCACUGGGUUCCAGAAAUGUUUUCUUCUCUCUAGUUUCCUUUUCCUCUAUAGACUUUGCUCCAAAUUUAUGUGCUGUGAGGAUAGAGUUUGUGUUGACAAGUAACUUAAGAGCUAUUGAUUGAUGAUUGAUAGAUUGAGCAAGAGGGAAUGUAAUUGAUUCUGGUCAUACGUAGGUCACUUCAAACUCCCAGAAUCAGUUGUUGUAUCUUUGUUGUUUGCUUUUUUAUCAUGAUUAUCAUGAUCUUAGAGCUUUGAGAUAUGUCUCACUGGUAUUUGAAAACACAGUUUGGAUUCAGAAUCAGAAAAGCAGUAAUUCAGCAACUUUACUUUGUCUCCAUGUAAUGAAGCAGAUUUGUUCCGGUUGUUUCAUCUGAAAUAAAAAAAAAAAAAAAUGGUAUGAUGUUCCCUAUCCAUGGAGAAAGGUUAGGUUAUAGAAACCACAUGCUUCUGGUAUGAUGUUCCCUAUCCAUGGAGCAUCUGAAAUAAAAAAAAAAAAAAAUGGUAUGAUGUUCCCUAUCCAUGGAGAAAGGUUAGGUUAUAGAAACCACAUGCUUCAACCAUAAAUUGAAUGAUACAGUUACUGUUUCUAAUCACAUACCAAACGUUACCUAAUCGCCAAAUUAUUUUCUAUUCUCUCCUAAUUGUCAAAAUAUUUCAAAUUCGAGGCAUCAGCGGAUUCCACUUAAAUGGCAAUGAGGCCAAUAAUGAAGUUACUAAACCUUCUCAAGUAUGAGCAUCAGAACAACCAAAUUAGUAAACAAUAAAAGAAACCAGUAUCUAACCCCUGCGAUCAUUUGUAUUGAUUCCAAAAGAACCAAACCCACUCUGCAUAAACCAAUAAAUAUCAGUCCCAAAACGAGUAAACAAAUGAUACCCUCUUCUCGAAUAUGUACUAUAAAACAAAGUGGCAUUGAAACAACCAUCUCCAUGCAGAAAUCAAGAAGUCAGCAUGAUGAAGAUGAAGAAAACUUCAACGGCAAUGAUCUUUUUGUCUGUCUGUGUUGUGGUGGCACUGCUUGUUGAAACUGAAGCAGCAAGAGAUGGGCCAAUGAGAGAUGACGUGUACAAUCAUCAGCUUUUCUUGGGUUGGCCAUUUGGUGUGGGACCUUUUCUGUUUCCGUGGCUUCACUUUCCUUGGCUCACUGCCGUCCCAAAAGGUAGAGCUGGGCAUAUGCAGGCUGCCAGCUUCCAAUCUCCAUGAUCCUGAUCGUUAUCAUCACGUGCAUGGUGCCCGUCAUCAGUUUGAGGUUCAAGGCUGUACUGUACCUCUGUCUGUGAAUGAAUAAAACGUUCGGGCCUUAAUAAAAUUGCUUUUUUUUUUUUCUUAAUGCAUAUUUGCCUGAAUUCAUUUUUCUUUUUAUCCGUAUUAUCUAAAAAAGGUGACAAAUUUUAGUCAAAAUAUUAAUUUGAAAGAAAAUAAAAAAAUUUCAACUUUAAACCAGGCCCGCUUAUCAUAACCUUGAAUGAUUCUUCUAAAUUUUCUGUCUGUCUAGUUGUCAAAUGUCAAUACUAUUAUAGUAAGGCACUUGCUCAAAUUUACUAGCAAGAAAGCUCACCCGAGUCAUGAUAAAAUCAUCAAAUUCGUAGUUUUUAUUGUAUUGUGAGUUAUUGAAAUUAAGUGUUCUCUGAGAUUAAUUAACAAGACCAUUAAUUUUCCUUUUUCUUUUUCGACAUAAAAUCAUUUGAAACAUCAAAUCAAGAGACGCGCAACUAAAUCGAAGAUAUUUUGUUUUAGUUGUUCAGAUAUUUUAUUUCAUCUUUAACAUUGAAAAUCAGGUGACAUUUGUAAAAUCUUACAAAGCAUUAAAAGCAAGGUUAUGGGUACGGUAAAGGCUGUUCCAGACCAUAAGAAAGAAACAAUUGUACACUAAACAUACGGGUAGAACCACCUUUUCUUACCAUAUUUGUAAUUACUGUAUGACAUUACUCGAGAAAUUGAGGAUUUCAUUCCUGGCUGUAGUUAUUUUUUGACCAUGUCGCGAAAGAAAUAAGGGGUAGAAGGAGAGGAGAAUAGGAACCAACAGAUGCUUCAAUCAGUAGAUAGAUACAUCGAAAAAUAUCACCUAUUUGAAAUUUGAGAAACCACUUAAAUUACAUUCUUUAAUACAGAUGCUGAAACUUCAAAUUUACCAUCACCUAAUGCAUUCACUGACCACUUGUACUACAUUUUAUGCCCAUAUAUUAAAGGCCCCCACUUGAUUCCUUCCAUUAAAAAAGCCAUAAGCCUAAUUUCAUCAGUUGUGUGUGUGCAUCCAAAUCUAGCUCAACAAAAAAUGACAAGUUUAAAGGGGCUUUGACGACCAAUUCUGAUAGCCAUCAACUAUAUUGACAUCCCAAAACAUUUUCUCUUCCCUUCCCAAAAUGUUUGCAUUGACCCUGUUGGCGUAAAAGCUGUUAUCAGCAUAAGAACAAAAGACAAGGAAUCGAGUAAUACCUAACACCAGCAACAUGAUUAUAACAGGAUAAAGUUUCAUCACAUUAAGACAGUGAGUGACUAUAGUAUAAACGAGUUGGUCCAUUGAAGGUUCUGAAUAGGUUGUGACAACUACAACCUUGUUUUCCAUGAUAUGAGAAUCAAAACGUGCUACUGCAUAGGUAAACUAUGUCGUUUUCCAUUUUACCACACAACUAAGCCUCAAGGCUUGACACGACUACCGAGUGCAACAUAUUCCCAGGUGAUGAACCAUUCUAGCAAAGUUCAAAUGUAAUUUUUCAUCAUUUUGGUAUACUUUUAGUGGACUAAAUAAUCUUAAUAAUAGUUUCAAAAACUAUGAAUUAAUGUAUUUUUCCAAAUGCAUGGUGCAUAUGAAAGAUACAAGCAUUUCCACAUAUUUAUCUUUGAAACAACUGUCAGGAACUGUUGCUUCAAUUUCUAUGCUGAUGGAAAUUAAAAAUAAAAGAGCUGUUGAACAAACCUACACCAUUAAUUUUGGUGGCAUGAGAUUCACAUUCAACUGGUUGCUGGAAGGAAGACUCUGAUGAGUUCUCUCACUGUAACUUUUUUCCUACAUGUUGGGCAUUUGUUCUGAGUUGCUAUCGCAGACUUAAUACAUGCUUUGCAGAAGAUGUGACCACAUUUCGUUGACAUCUCCUCAACUAAUGGUCCCAUACAAAUUGGGCAAGUGAAAGUAGGCUCCUUUGGAGGAGGUGGAGGCGGUGGGGGCUUUCCAGCAUUCUCUCUCUGGCAAUAGAACAUUGAUUAAGUCAACCUAGACAAUAUAUUCAUUGAACACGCACCAAGACUACAAAUGCAGAGUGACAGCGAGAGACCAAUAACACUACUCUAAAUUGAAUGAAAGACAUAAGAUUUUCUUGUUGUCUCUGGAUAAAAUUUUACCCCGCAGGGAUUACCAUAAUAAUAGAACAUUAGAGAAAUUCAGCUAUUACCAUCAAGUUGCUGGUGCUUUCCAAAUUUAUGUAAUUGAUAAUUGGUGGGUUAGUUGGAACCCUUCUGCGCUUGUUGCGAUUGCUAUGAGUCAAGCCAGUUGUUCGCCCUGCAAUAAUCAUGCAUACUGAUGAGAGAGAUGGAAAAAGAAAAAAAAAAUUGUGCAACCGCAAGUACCCACUGAGUGGGAUAGAAAAAGACAGAUUUGAGCUACAAUCACAACAUAUUGUAAUAUGACAAUAAAAGGAAUAAAACGAAUUAACCAAAUAGAUACUAUCAAUAUCUAAUUUAACAGAAUUAGCAUCUAACAUAAACAAAAAAAUGGGGCAUUAGAUACUGAUGGAACUCUUGAAGUUGCAUCAACUUUAAUCAAUCAAGAUUUAUCUUGCCCCUAGAAAGUGAGGCAUACAUCAUGUCCACAGGAUAAAUGUGACUAUACAGAAAUUGAUCAUAAGAAAGUUAAAGAAAUUUUGCCAACAAAAAAAGCUUUUUAACAGGUUCCAAUGUUUGACUUGGAUAUUAAAUCCAAAAUAGAUAUCCACCAACCAAGAACACACAAAAUAAGGUUAAUUUCAUGCUACCCUUCUCACUGUCAUUGGUUACACAUUUUCUAUGGAUUCACGGUUCUGCUAAGGUACAACAGAAAAAUUCUAUGAGAUCCAACAAAGAUAUAUAAGUAACCUAAUUCCUUCAAUGUGCUUACAAAAGAGUUUGAUUAAUAGGCUUCCAUAGCAGUCAAUAGAAAGUAGCACACUACCUCCGGUAAAUUGUCAGUAGACUCAAUCUUGAAACACAUUUUGCAUAAUUUUGUGAAAAAAAAAGUCAUUUUCUUUCCCCUUCAACUAAUCAUUGCCUCACACACUUUUUAACUCUGCUCAUUAAAUCAUAUUCUUAAUUAGUAAAAUAAUAAAGAUGAAAGGAGAAUGCGAUUCAAUUGAGAAUCUCUCUAAGAGGGCUAUUGACUAAUCUAAGGAUAACUCCUUCCCCAUCUCCCAAUCUUACGAGACUAAGGAAGAUUUCGAGGAAGUCCAUUACUGAGAGAAGUGGUGCAAAGGAAAGGCAAUGGCCCUUCCGUGUUUUUCCCACAAUAAAAUCACAGACUCAGUGGAGAAUUCAAUUUCACCGGGUCCAUGUAGGAGACAGCAGGGUCGUUAAGUCAUGCGUGAUAAGUACAAUAAAAAUGAUUAGAUGAUAAUAGCAUAAAUAGAGAUGUACACGAAAGAACAUAAAAAUGCAAUAAUAGAAACAAAAAAUACAGAAGCUUGGCAACAUUACCUGAAUCUACAUCAACUACAAUAGCCCUUCCACGAUUCCUUCUAGAAUUAUUUUUAGCCUAAAACGAAAAUGAACAGUCAAUAAUUUAACCCACAAGAGAAUUCGAGUCACAAAAACAGAAUAGGCAAAAUUCAAAUGACAGAAAGGUUACUUCAGCAAAAGCCCUUGGAGAUGAUUCAAUAACAUCAUCAUCAAUAGCCUCAACAUCAAUUGGGGCAGGUAGUAUGGACUGAUGUUGUUGGCUAGCUUGCACUUCCUCGGACCUGAUCUCAAUUGAAGUACCCUCACGAUCUCUGCUUUCACAUGGUGGUGCAUUAAGAUCCAACACAGCCUUCCUCCGUCGAUACCCUCUUACAGGGGCCCUUGCCGCCUGAGUGCUCAUGCUCCAAAAAUCCCCUUUUUGAAAAAUCACCUAAAGGGAUAUCAGGGAAGAAAAAGUCAGUAAUACUUGACAAUAUGUUCCAUACAUCACCAGCUGGUCAAACUAUUAUCAACUGAGCCAAACACAACCACUAACACAGGAAAAAAAAUCUUAUAAAAUUCUAAUGUUUUACAAUUUUAGUGCAAAAAUUGGUUGUCACACUGUUCUAUACACAAAACAUGGUUAAGAAUUUUAUGAAAGAUUAUUAUAAAAGAAAACACUGAAGACAUUUUACUUCAAUAUUUAAUAAGAAUCAUGACUAGUGUGUGAUUGCAACAGUUUCAGUUUCCAAACCACAGACCCGGCAUAGAAGCAUAAAUCAUUGAGCAAUAUCAUCAAAUUCAAACCUAAAAAGUGCCAACUUCAACACAGAUUUGCAGUUCGAAAUCCCAACAGUAAAAUAUGCAUCAGAAUACUCAUACUGUUCACUUCUUAUUCGAAUUUCACAGUGAAAUCAAGAAUCCGCACACCUGAUCAUAAAAAAACAUGACAUCUUUUAAAAAAAAUCCAAGUCCCAAGCCCUUAAAAUGAACAAUGACGUGAAGACACAACAAUCAGCGACCAAGAACGUAUUAAAAAUCAAAUAUUAAGCACAAUCGAGCAGCAAACGAAUCGAUAAAUGAAAUGCACAUGAAAAUCGAUACUCGGAAACGAUCAAUCUAGAUAAAACCAAACCGAUCAUCAAAUAAAAACAAAAAAAAAAAUUAACAGAAAUGAAAAAUAUGUCAAAUUGAAGCCUCCAACCUUAAUUUCAAGAAGCGAAUCGAAUCAAUUCGUAGAAAUUAUUGUUAAGAAAUCGAAACUAGAGAGGAAAAGAGAGUGAUAUUUUGCUGUCUAGGGUUUCGUUAGAGGCGAACGAUUAGGGGAAGACACUGAGAGAGACGAUGUUUGUUUUGAUUUUGAACUCUGACAGGUUUCUCAUUUCGGUGAGGGAGAGGAGUGGGACGGGCUUUGAGCUUCGGGCCGUCAAUGAGACGCGGAUCGUAAGGUUUCAAAAUUGUCCACGUGGCCUUGUCAGUUAGAAAUGCAAACGUGUCGUUUGAUAUUUGCACAGUCCCGCGGCAAGGUUAGCAAAUUAGGGGAUUGGGCAGGCAUUUUUUUGUUCAGGUCCAAGCCCAUUAGAUUAGAAGUAUAAGGGUUGGGCCCAGAUCGGGCUUUUUGCGGGCCUGAGCUGCGCUUGAAUUGAACUUGGGCUUUUACUUUAUUUUUUUAAUUUUUUUUAAAAAAUUGUUGUAAACAUAAAAUGAGUAAUAAUAAUCCAAUCGUUAUAAUUAACAAUGAAUUAAAAAAAUAUUUCAAAAUAAAAUAAUAAAUAAUGAAAAUAAAGUAAAUAAAAGUUUAAAAAUUUAAAAAUUUAAUUUUUUAGUACUAAAUUCUCUAAUUCAACCACUCUCUUAACUAAUUAACACUUAAAAAAGAGUUUAAUAUUAUAAUUUUAAAUUUUGAUUCAUUAUUAAUAUAUGCAUAAGGAAUUUAAGCUUACUUUUUUUCAUUAUUUUUUAAAUUUUAAUUUAUAAAUUUAUUUUUUAAAAAAAUAUAGGAGUUGGGUUUGGCCCGAACUUUUUGUCCUAAGCUUUUGUACAGGUCCUCAUGUGCGAAGUACGGACCAAAACUCAUGAGAAUGGGCCGGGUUAGCCUAGGCUUUUUUGCCAUCCCUGAUCCUGUCUGUGCUUUACUUUUAAGUCUUUCGUUUGAUGAUUGGAGUUUGUAAUAAGAGUCCAGCUUUGUUGGAACCAUCUUACGGUAGAGUAAUUUUUUUUAUAACUAAAUGAUUAAAAUUCUAAUGUAUUUUUUUAAUUAAUUAUCACUUUGUGUGUGUCUAUGAUUUUUGCUUAGCCUUGUAAUAAUAGCAACUCUAUUCUAUUCUCGCUCCUAUGAAUCCUAAAUUGAGCCCGGUUAUUAUUCUUUCAUAUUCCUGCCACGUCAUUUCAUCUAUAAUCAAAAGGCGAUUUUUUUUUUUACUUUUUUUGCACUAUGGUACAUAGGGGUGGCAAAACGAAUAAAUGAAUCGAAUUCGAAUCGAAUCGUAAACUAAUUGGGUCAAAAUUCUGCGGAUUCAGAUUCAUUUCAUUUAUCAAACGAAUUGAAAUUUCAGGAUUCGGAUUCGAUUCGUUUAUUAAACGAAUAUUUGGUUCGAUUCGUUUAAUUUGUUUAAAAUAAUUGAUAAACGAAUCGAAUCGAAUCGAGUCUGGAUUCGUUUAUCCUUAACGAAUCGAACCGAAUCAAGAUUCGUUUACAAUUCAUUUAGAAAAAAUAUAAUUAAUAAAUAAAAUUAAGCAAAAUAAAAUAUAUAAAAAAUCACAAGUUUAACAUCCCACAACAAAAUAAAAAUAACCCAAACAAUAUUAUGCAGUCAUCUAAAUACCAAAUGACAAACCCCUAAUAAUACAAAUAACAAUAAUUCAAAUUCAAAUUAUAAAGUAAGGUAAUUUCUUUAAUUCUCUUCAUUUGUCUUUUUCACCUUGAAAACAAAAAUCCUACACCAAAAAGUAAAUAAAAUGUUAUUAACAAUUUAACAUACUGUAAUAUUGAUAAUAAUCAUUGUAAAAUUUCAAAAUAUCAAAUAUAUAGUAAAUUUGUAAUAUUUUUAAGGAAAUAAUAAUUAAAUAAGACAAAAUUUUACUUAUCACACUCACACAAAUCCAAGGAUUUGGAGCAGUGGCAAAACGUAGCACUUGCUAGAUGCAAAAAUUAAAAAGAAAAAGAAAAUGAUUUGGAGAUGGAAAUGAAGUGUAAAAUUAGGGUUGAUCUUUUUGGCUUUAUGUGUUAUGCUUAAAAUUACAAUAUUAACCUUGAUAUUUUAAAAAGUUUUUAAAUAAAAUUAAGGACAAAAAAAUAUUUUAAUUAAACAAAUAAUAAAUAAAUUUUAAACGAAUCGACCUCUAUUCGAUUCGUUUGAGGUCGAUUCGUUUAUGACCCGUUUAUUAAACGAAUAAACGAAUCAAAAUCUUCAAACCCGCAUUCGAUUCGUUUAAUUAGCGAAUCGAAUCGAAUUCACCCAUUUAUUAAACGAAUCAAUUUUUUCAAACUCAAACCCAUUUAAUUCGCAUCAAAUCGAAUCGAAUAAACGAAUCAUAACCCAUAUUGCCACCCCUAAUGGUACAGCGACUGUAACGCUCAUUGGGAGUUAUUCAAGUAUGGUGUUGGUAAUGCUUUAUCUGUGGCAGUUUCAUGCCAUUUUCUUGAAAAAUAUGCAUGAUUUAAAUUUGUUCAACAAUUUAUUGAAAUGAAAUCAGUACAUGCUAGUGAAGUGAAAUUGAAUAUGCAAGGGAAACAACAUACCGUGAUCCAAACCAAGGAUGAGUACUGAAUGUGAAAAAAAAGAAGUCAAGCUGAAUUUACCAAUCACCACCCCAGGAUCUACCGAUAUGGUAACAGCUUCCUAGUUACAGACUGCAAACUACAUCAGCCAAGAACUGUUAGUUUUAAUUGAUUCUUAUAUGCGAUACAAGAUUUUAAACCAAAUCAGUCGACUUUAGAUGCAAAGUUAGAACAGAGGAAUAAACAAAGAAGAAAGAGCUAUCGUUGGUUGAAUAGCAUCAUACAAGAUUUCUCUCACAUUUAUGAAUUAUUCCAAACGUGCCUGGAAAGAGUGAAAAAAAAAAAAUUACAAGUAAUAAACAAAUUGUCUUCAGAACGACACAUCAAAGUUUAACACCUAUAGAUCUUGACAUUAUGUAAAGUACAAUUACACAUCAAAGCUUCUCGGUUAAUCUGACCAUAAAAGAAUUAACUGCACCUCUAUCUAAGAUGAUCCAUGAAGAUUCAAAGAGCUCGUGGAAGAACUCAGCUCCAAUCUCGGUAGCUGCAUUUCUGAAGGAAACCCCAAAUGCAUUUCCUCGGAGGGCGCCAAGUCGAGGCUUCCCACAAACCCCGACAAUCAACACUUUAUUUGGUUCUUGUGCUAAGCAGGCACAUACCAGAGGCUUCAUUCUAGCUCCCUUCUCUUUCAAUGCAUCCAUUAAAAAAUAGCAGAAUUUAGUUAAAGCCUGGGGGUACCCCAAAAAUUUUGUAUCCGCUGAAUCUUCAAGCUUAACCCACCUGAAUUUCCGUCCGCUUCUAAUAGCUCCGCUCUUCAUAAUGGCUGCACUUCCUUGCCUAAGUAUUGCUCUCUGUACCUUAAUUGCCUGCUGCAUUCCAGUUUUCAACUGAUCAAGAUUGCUCAGUGAUAAUGCAUCAUAUGCCACCCCAAAUUGCUUUGAAGCACAAGAGCCAUCAGAAGUUACAAAUGACUCAAGCAGUGCCGUAACUCCAUACACCACAUCCGCAGCAGAUACCCUGGAGCUGUAACCAUGUAGCCUCAGGAAACUCCGGUAAUAGAAAUCAGUAAGCCCAUAUUCAGGUAGAAACCUUUCAAAUUCAUCUUUCAUCUUCCGUUUUACUUCAAGAUUCAUGUAUUGAAACUUUUGCUGGCAAUCCACGAGUGCAAAUCCCAUUCUAGCAAGAAGCAGCUUGAGCUUUUUCAUCCCAUUGUCACUCCAUGUCUUCAACUUAGUUGCAAUAUACGAAGAGCACAACAUCGAGUCAAAUAAAUUCCACUCCUGCAGCAGCAUAAGUCUUGGUUCAUCAUCAUACGCAAUUCUUGCAGACUCAGGUGCUCGAAUCUUGGUCCCAUCUUUGAGUGUCACUGAAGUAACAGCAUCCAAAUUACCAGAACUGUUAAUAUGCUGCUCAAGCUCCAUAACUCCAGCUUGGUACCUCUCAUCAGUCAACCUCUCAUGCACAAACUGAUCAGUCAACGAAACACAAGCCAACCAAAGCAACUCAUUUGUAUUUUUCCUCAAAGAAUGCGACAAAUCAUACAUCAAACACCCAGAUGGCUUACCAUGAAAGGUACCCAUUCUAUAAUAUUCUCUCUUCAUUCUCUUAAAAACCUUUUCCGGGUCCUCCCCCCUUUCUAAAUCAACUCGUCUUCGCUUCCUUGACCCGCCCUCAUUUUCCUCUCCCUCACUUUCACUGUCAUCUUCCUCAUCACUAUCCAAAUCCUCAUCAUCUAUCCCCAAAUCAAUCGCAUGAGCCAAAGCCGAAACAUUAAAAUCAUAAGCCAAAUCAGCCUGCUGCUCAUCAUCCGGCGUAUACAACACUACCACGUUAUCAUUUCCAUCACUCAAAUUAUGUAAAUGAAUGGGCCUGUGACUAUCAACAACAAAAACACGUGCCUUGGGGCCUAAAUUAAGAACCCUUUUCAAGUCACGGUGAGAACCCCAAUUAAUCAACAGAAUCGUAAUUUGGGUUUCAGAAGAAGAACCCAAAUUGGGUCCCGCAUAUUUAUGAAUUUCUUGAAAAGAAGAAACCGGAUAACAGGCAUAACGGACCGAAUCAGACUCGAGGACAUGGAGAAUUAUUUUUAGGGCACAGAGUGAGUCCACAUCAGACGUUGAUGGGAAUAUCAGAAGAGGCGAGUCAGAAGAAGCCGUAGCCGAUUCGCGGAGCCGCGUGUAGAACGAAUCUAGCUUUUUCUCCCUAACCAUGAUUGCUCAAUUCAAAAUAGAAACGUCUAUACAAAAUCCAAUACGCCCACUAAAAACGGACUGCAUAAUAGCUCAAAAAUUCAAGAAAUAUCCCCCAAAAAUGUUAAACGAGAAAGAAAUCAAGAAGCUCUACGCUGCCCACGAAAUCUAUUUUACAAAUUCGGUUGACGGAAAAUUAGAGUGAGGAAUUGAAGUUGAAGUAGUACCUGGGAUUUGGAGAAUCCGAGUGAGAAUAAGGAUUUCCCUGUUCUGGUUUGGCUUUGCUCGCUAAUCAGAUCUGCAACUGACUCAGUGAGAGAGAGGAGCGGAUUUGCCUUUUGUUUUGUUUUGAUUUUUGAAUUGGGAGAGAUUUGUGCCAAAUUUUUAAAUUUGAAGAUCAGCCGCCAAGUUUUGGCGCUACUGCUUUACCGGGUGAGAGAGACGGAAGUAAAUAUUGUACGCGGGCGAGCAUAGUAUUAGUGUCAAGGCAGCGAGUGUGCGAACGUUGAUAGGAACUAGAAAGUUUGAUGAUUGAACGGUCUGGAUGAAUUGGUUUUAGAUAAUCUACGGCCAAGGUCAUUUAGGGAACGCUGUGACUGUGGUUGUGACAAGUGUCAACCAGAAAGUAAUGGGUCAAUGUUUCACUCUGACUCGAACAUCUUAAUUCUAAAUUACAAAGAUGCCCCUCUAAAUUGACAAUAUUCUACUCUACGGCCUACACAUGUUGGCUUGAAGCGUAGCUUUCACUUCAAAAUCAGGUACAAUUUGACGGUACUAUAAAAAAAUUCAAAUAAUCGUAUUAUGUUUAUUUUAGGGUACAAGUUACCCAAUUCAUUGGUUUGAAUUUGAUUAAUAAUGAAACCAUGAUCGUUAUCAUGAUUCAUGGCCAUCUAAAUUUAAUUAGAGUUAAAAAUUAUUAAACUGCUACCAGUGAGUAAUGACAGUUUUCUAAAA
rnacentral:lncRNA from 1 species